GCCACGCGUUACCAAUAUAACUCAAAAACGUUGUCCCCCGCGCGCGCCAAGCAGAAGCAAGAGAAAAGGAUUUUUGUUCACUGUCUUUGAUUGCUGCCCAUCAUUAAUCACGCUGAAUUUGUAUACGUACCCUUCUUAGCCAUUUCCAGCUGUACUAUCACUAAAAUAUAUUUUACAUUCUAACUAUGAAAAGUCAGUCAUCGAAACGAGAAUUCCUGAAUGGAAAUCUCAAUCAAUUCUCGGACGAAGCUGAACUCUAGCUAAAAAGUGCCAGUGGAAUUAGAAUAACCUAACCAUAAAAUAAUGCUUUAAUAACGAACCUGCAAUGUGAAAUUUGUUGUACUGUGGGUGAUUAAUCUAAUUUGAGCAAAGUACUAGGCUUGAAGAAAUCUUACUCAAAAGUGGCAACUCUUACAUUAUCCUAACUACGGACACAGUUUACGAUGCCUAGCUACUAAAGCCGAACAGAUCCAGUUUACAUGACCUAUAUAUAUAUAUAUAUAUAUAUAUAUAUAUAUAUUCAACUACUGAACGGUCACAUUAUAAAAGAGAUGUUUUAACUGGUCAACCAGCGAAGAGGGAUAUAUGUGCAAAGAUGUGUGCAAAGAUGUGCGACUUUUAAAGAGAUAUAUUUAACAGCUUAAAUACUUCAGAUAUAAAUAUGUAACUCUAGUGCUUAGCAGGAAUAUAUAUAUGAUUUGGACAAAUACUAACAAUUAUAGUUUAGAGGGGGCUAAUGAUUACUUGUAGAGAUUGAAAAGAACAUCUACUCUAACCCAAAAGUCAGUUCAAAAUAACCUUUCUUUACCAAAAGGUUGAUAAGAAAAUUUCAGGUCACAUAUAGCUAAGAUGGCAUAUCUCAUCUCUCAAAAAAGAUAUCAUAAAAUACAUUGUUAAAUUGUACACUCUGCCAUAUGCAUAUACGCGAUUCUUAAUUUCUAACCACCGGUAGUUUGGUUGUAGUAAGGUCUUUAAUAGUUGAUUCUGAGGCUAGCAUUCGAGCCUCCGUCAAGAAUUAUGAGGUCAGUAAUUUGGGAUUCGAUUCUCUGGUUUCGAGUUUUUUUUUAUUUUAAUUUAUUUUUAUUUUUAUUUUUUAUUUUUAAAUAUGUAUAAAUUGUGAAGGUAAGGUUUUAGAGAUAGGAGAUAUUAAUAUUGGGCAAAGUACAGCAGGUGAUCCAGCAGUGAACUAGUAAUUACUUUCAACUUCUGUAAUGAAUGGCACAGAUUCUCCAUACCUAAUAUUGGUGUGCUGCAAAUACAACAGUACACAAUUAGGUGAACGAAUCCAAAGCUAACUAAUUCUUAUUAUUAUAUUAUUAUUAUUGAAUCCCCAUUCCAUUGACCUUUUUGGGCAACUGAACAGAAAAAUUGUUGCAUGGUGCAAUUGAAGAGAUAUAUUUUCUGCAAGUGCGUUUGAUGGGCCUCAAUACCAAACUAAGUCUUAAGCCUGUCAUUCACUGAUCCUGACUUAAUCUAUCUAUCAUUCCGACCUUGAUUCGGCCAAAACUCAUUUCACGCUUCCGUAUCUGUCAUUCCGACCUUGAUUCGGCCAAAAUUCGAUUCGGCCAAAAUUCGUAUCACGCUUCCGGCUAGUAAAUUGGCUCUGAUACUAUCUGACUCAAUCCGCCGGUAAUAAUAAUUCGUCGGGUCAAACCAUUUCACGCUUCCGUAUCUGUCAUUCCGACCUUGAUUCGGCCAAAAUUCGAUUCGGCCAAAAUUCGUUUCACGCUUCCGACUAGUAAAUCGGCUCUGAUACCAUCCGACUCAAUUCGCCGGAAAUAAUAAUUCGUCGGCUCAAACCAGCCGUUCAAAUUACUUAAACCUAAUUAUUAUUAUUAUUAUUAUUAGAAUGUAGUCCACUCAUAUAUUCAAUAAUAAUUUUAUUAUCAUCCGAUUUGGGACUAUGGACAUGUCACCCUACUGAGCACGGCUAAUUUAAGAACGGCAUGGAAAACUCCCGGCGAUCCAUGUAAUAAUUAAUCCAUCAUGCUAAUUAAUUAACUCAAAGUAAAAGAGUCAAAAAAAAAAAAAAAGAAAAAGUACAACUCACGAACGUUAUCUCGUCCUCUUCUACGGUGAGGUGGCUUCUAUUUUUGGGUCUUAGUUCACGUGCUUUUUAACUCUUUCCACGGAGUUCUAUCAAUCAAUUCAAUGAAUGUUAAACUACACUUGCAGAGUCACCAUUCAAAGUCUUUAAUACACAGAGAGAGAGAGAGAGAGAGAGAGAGAGAGAGAGAGAGAGGGUUUGAUUAUAAGCGGUCGUUCAAAAACACGGUUGUUGUAGAGAUUUUUCUUUUUUUCCUUUCUUUUUCUUUUGAAGAACACACGCGCACAAAGAAAAGGGGAAUAAAAACGAGUUGUAGUUGUUUGCUAAUUAUUACUCAUUAAAAUAGAUUUGGUAGAUCCAGAAUUGGAUGAGCUCAGUAAGUUGAAUAGGAUUACGGUCUAUAAUAAAUCUAACGUUCAAAUGAGCUGAAUCAGGUCGAGACUCGUAACCACGGUGGUUGAGCCCUUAAGUGCAACGCAUUCGUCCUUUCUAUUAGGUCGAGAUUAGUAAUUUACUUAAUUUUAUACAUCGCUUUCGCUUUCUUUUCGCUUUCCACCUCUUAAUGGGUGGCAAAUGGGUACAAGUCUUUUAAUUAGGGCUCUUCUGGUAUUAGAAUUCAUUUAUACCUAUAUAUAAAACUAUAUGAAGCCACAAUACUUUUUGCCACGUGGUAUCCUUUCAUCCUCAUAGUCCAACUUUAAAUCAAAUCACCUUCACCUUUUCUCAACACCCAACCUUUCACCUCCCCACUCCUCUAAUUAUAUGCAAGUUGUAAUAUUUAAUUACAUGCAUAAUAUUAAUAUUCUUCAAUCCACUCUCCUUCUCUAUUAAUCUCCCAUCCCUUCUCUUUUGUAACUUUUUUGUAUGCAUCAUAAAAAUUUUUUUUGCCACGUGACAUGUUACUCUUUAUUCUCAUAACCAAACUUUAAAUCAAACCACACGUACACUUUUUCCUCUUCUCAACGCCCAACCCUUCACCCCCCACUACUAUAAUUACAUACAAGGUGCAACAUUUAAUUACAUGCAACAUAUUAAUAUUUUAGCUAAAAUUUUAUUUUUUUAACAGUUGAAUUUAGUCAUACAAAUUAGCUAUAUUUAACAUGGUAUAACUUCUUAUAUAUGAAUAAGCUGUAAAUAUAAAUUUUAUUGAAGUUUUUAAAUUUUGUUUUUAUUAUUUACCCGUUGCAUUGCGCGGGUCUUUACACUAGUAUACAUUAUUUCUCGUAACUUUGCCACAUGUCAAUUCCUCCUUCAUCCUUGUCUUCUCCGCUCUUUUCACUCCAUGGUGUUUUGUCUUUCCAUCUCCCAUCUCCGCCUGAUGUUUCGUCUUCUCACUUGCUCAUUUUUUAAUUAAUGCAUUCAUAUACCAAUUGUUAUCUGAACAAAUCACUUUCACAAGAAAAAAUGAGUAAAAUAAUUUAUUCAUAUUCUUUUUUCUCGUACUAUUUAUAUUUAUUGAUCUCUCAUUGCAACUUAAAAAUUUUAAAAUUGUUACUUUAUCAAUCUUUUGUCUUUUUUAUAGUAUUAGCCCGCCGCAAUGCGCAAGUAAUUUGACUAGUUUAACACUAUUGGAUGAAAUAGAAUUGGGUCGAAAGUAUAUAACAAUAUAUUAUAUAUUACUUAUUUUUUAAUGGAUUGUAAAAAAUACAUUAUAAUGGACUUAUUGCGAUAUGCAUAGCGUAAUACUACAUUUGAAAAUAAAAGGAGUAAUUUUUGACUUUUGAUUGCUUAAAGAAAAAGGAUGAUUUAAUUUUUGGUUUGUUUGGAAAAAUAAAAUUAGGGCAAUUUCAAAAUUACCCCUCUGAACUUCUAAAAUUAAAUACAUAUCCUUCAAAAUCUAAUNUGUAAAUUGAUAUAUUUUGAAGGUUAUUUGCCAUAUAUUAGAUUUUGAAGGAUAUGUAUUUAAUUUUUGGUUUGUUUGGAAAAAUAAAAUUAGGGCAAUUUCAAAAUUACCCCUCUGAACUUCUAAAAUUAAAUACAUAUCCUUCAAAAUCUAAUAUAUGGCAAAUAACCUUCAAAAUAUAUCAAUUUACAACAAAUACAUGUUGUCGGUAUUAUUAUUAUUUUUAAUUUCUUAUUAUGUGUGUGAUCUAUCACUUUUCUUUGAUUAUAUAUAUAUUUUUUAUUAAAGUUAUAUGAGUUUACUAAGUUUUUAGCUUAUUAGAAGGGAAAAAAUAAAAAUUUUAAAAAUAAUGCAUCUAUAAUUUGAAUGAAAUUUUACUACAGGGCCAUUUAAUAAUAUUUAACAAGUUUACGGGAGUAUUGGAGAUAUUUUAAACUUUGAGAAGAAACAUUGCCUAAACUACAACCUACGAGAUUGUUCCAAAAAAAAAAAAAAAAUCUAUAUAAAAUUUGUAUUUUAAUGAGUCUAAUUUGUUAUAUACAAUCACAAUUUCGAGUAUCCUAGAUUUGAGAGUUUUGCAUUUUAAGAACCCUUGUAUAAGAAUUUUCAAAUUUUUUUUUUUUUCCUCCAAUUCUGGGGCUUGAACAUCCGACUAAUAAACGGUCAGCAGUGUUGGAAAUAAUAAUACAAAUGUAAUUUAAAAUUUAGUUAGAGAUAGAGUAUAUCCAAAUUAUACAUUGAAUAGGAUAUGUAAUUAUCUAAAGUAAAAUUGAAUUUAUCAUCUAUUAUGAUUUGGUGGCUAUGGCUAGGGCUGCUAUACUCUUAUGAGUAUAGAGCACUUCGUACUCAUAAGUUGUUUUCAAUGAUGGAGCUUCCAAAUCGAUGAUCCACUCCGUUAAAUAUGAUCUAGAGUAUUUGAAACUUUCACAAAAUAAAUUUUGUAAUUUUUCGAAAUCAUAAUAAAGUUCAUCAAGCGUGUAUAAAAUGAACGGUCAAAAUCGAACGACGUCUUAAAAAUGGAUCCGAAUAAGAUCGGAGUUAUUGAUCUUUAUCUAUAUAGUGAAUAGAAUUUUAAGCAGUGUAAACUGCUUACCCCAAGAUUAAGAUUUUUUGAUUAGUUAUCAUAUCUUGAAGCGGGCGCAAACGACGUCUAGGAGAUAUAAUAUUUUCAGGAACAAGGAAAUCAUCUAUCAAAAAUUCAACCGAUUUCGAUUCUUUUACACUGUUAAACUAGCAAAUAUCCCAUACCGGUCGUUAAAAAUUGUCAAUUUUGUGACCUUUUGAUUGUAAGAUAAAUAAUGUCGAAAAAUUAUAAAAUUUGAUUUCUAGACGUUUUAAAUGCUCUAGAUAAUAUUUAACGGUGUGGAUCGUCAAUUCGGAAGCUCUAUCAUCGAAAAUAAUUUAUGAGUACGAGAGCGAUCGUACUUAUAAGAGUAUAGUAGCCGGACUCUGAUGGCUAUAUAUAGUUAGGCAUGGAUUAAUUAGAUGAAUAAGGUAUAGUAAACAUGGCUGCAUAAGUGUUAUCCAGAAUGUAAUUUAGCUUAUUAGUUUAGUUAUCUUCUUACUCCAAUGUCUCUUUUCCAUAUUAUUUUGUUCUAUUUUAGAUCUUGGGUUAUAUAAUCGGCAUCGCCACAAAUAUCGGUUCUAAUAAUUGGUAUUAGAGAAAAUCACGCUUCCCAACAAGUGGUAUCAGAGCGAAUAUCGCUUUCAACAUGUGGCAUCAGAGCCGGAAAGUAUCAUCCGGCUUAUAAACCAGAUGACAAUAUAUUCGAAAAGAACAUAAAUCUAAUGUACCAGAUAGUUACGUCAAAGUCAAGCGACUCGUAGCUAAUCAACGAAGGUGACGUAGGUGAAACCAAAGCGAAGGAAUCAUUUUGAAGAAAUUGGCCUCCACACAACACACGACAACAGGUGGUUGUGACGCUUGACGAAAAGAGAGCGAGGAGAGCCUGUGAGGAGAUCCAAGAAGACUUGACCAGAUAGCCAGGAGAACUAAGCAAGCAAGCCGAAAUACAGAAAAUUCGGCGAUAUCUCGAUGAACUAAGAAACAUCAUCUAAACUGAAAAGUACAAAUCUGAAAGUUAUUUUUCGAAUUUUCAAGUUUUAUUAUUGAUUUAGAUUGGUUUAUUCAACCUAAUUUACCAAAGUUCGAUGGUAAAUCAUCAUUCGAUAUUUUUUAGAAUCCCAAGAUUUGUCGGAUAUAGUGGAGAAUAGAAAUUAUGAAAAAGAAUUUGGUAGAGAAGAAUUUAGAAAAAGAGAUAGAAAAGCUCUAUCAUAUAUUUUUCAAGCAGCGGAUCUAUCAUUGGUUGGAAAAAUUUUAACGAUAAAGACGACACGAGAAGCGUGGAGAAUGUUAUUGAAAAUUGGAGGAGAAGAUUUGCAGGAAGAGAAUGAAAUUGAAGAAGAAGAAGAAAUUCAACCCAACAACAAAGAUACUGAAGCCCCAAUUUGCAAAGAAAUUUGGAAAGAAAAGUUUGAUCAAAAUUAUGAAGAAGAUCAGAUUUGAUCAAAACGAUGUAAUUCAGGUCGAGGACAAAGUUCACAAUAAUAAUAUGAUUGAAAAAAUUUCUGCUGAUGAAGAAAUUAUGCAGCAAAGUAGGGAGGAAGUUUAUUAUUAUUUUGAUGUGAUUGAAGAUGCAAAUCACAAAUUAGAUUUACGAAAGCAGAAAGCACAUAAAAAUGCACAAAUCAAUAUCAAUGCAUUGAACAAACAUCAGUGUCGAUCAAAUUCUUCUCAGUUACCAUAAAAUUACAAAAUUCAUAUCGAUCCAAUUUUUUCAAAAUUAUAUGUUUUUCAAGAUAUUUGCAAAAAUUCGCGGAUCUUUAAGAAUGAUAUGGUUAAUCAAGAUUACAGAUGGCCAAGAUUUCAACCAUGACAAUAUUAUUGGACAGGCGUCAUGGUGUACAACUCGAACACGAUGACAACAACAGUGACAGAGAUUGCAAAAUCAAAGUGCGUGUUUCACGCAGUUCGCGGCUCGAAGAUAAAGUUUGGAUUAAGGGAGGAUGUUGGAAAUAAUAAUCCAAACUUAAUUUAAAAUUUAGUUAGAGAUGGAGUAUAUCCAAAUUAUACAUUGAAUAAGAAAUGUAAUUAUCCAAAGUAAAAUUAGAUUUAUCAUCUGUUACGAUUUGAUGGCUAUAUAUAGUUAGACAUGGGUUAAUUAGAUGAAUAAGACAUAGUAGACAUGGCUGUAUAGAUGUUGCCCAGAAUGCAAUUGAUUGCUUUUUAUUAAUAAAGUAUUAGUUUAGUUAUCUUCUUUCUCCAAUAUAUCUUCUCCAUAUUAUUUUAUUCUAUUUUAGAUCUUAGGUUAUAUAAUCAGUAUCAGCACAGAUAUCGGUUUCAACAAUUGAUAUUAGAGAAAAUCCUGAUUCCCAACAAAUGGUAUCAGAGCGAGUAUCGCUUUCAACAAGCAGAGACUUGAAUAUCUAACUUUAGAAAUAAGCAUUUAAAAUACCAAUUACUGGCUAAUCUGUUAUGAAACGUUAGAAAUUAGAAUAUUCGUUAAAAUAAAAAUUAAAAAUAAAAAUUUAAAAAAGUUAAAAAUCGAGAAAAAUCAUGUAACUAUGUACUCUCUCAUCUUUGUUAUGCUGUGUUUUUGAUAGUUCUUACUUAAUAAAAAAAAUAUUUUUAGUUUAUAAAAAAUUUUAAAAUAGUCUAAAAUUACAAGAACGAGUCCACAGAAGAUUUUUUUUUUUUUUUAAUAAAGGUCCUUAUUUUUUAAGAUAAUUCAUAAAAAAACAAAUUUUUUUUUAUCUUUAUAUAUAAAUUUUUAAUCUUUAGUAUAAUAAUAAUUAUUAUUUAAUUGAGGACUCUAUUGAGCAUCUUUUUGAGGGAUCUAAGAAUUAAUGUACCAUAAUAAUAAUAAGCACUUUUACCUUCAAUUUUCUUUUUCAUAUAUUUACGCUUGUAACUGUAAUUUUAUUUCUCCACGGAUAAGUUUAAUCGGAAUUGUGCGCGCAAGGUUCAGGGUGAUAUUUUAUGUGUAAAAUUGAUUCCAAAUGUUGUUUUAACCAUAAAGUUGCGCUUGUUUGGUGACAUUAUAUACAAAUGAGUAAACUUCAAUUUGCUCUCCUGUGGUAUAUCAUAUUUUCACUUAACCACUCCUUGAUUUAGAAUGUUACGUUUAAUUAUUCUGCGUGUUUUAUUUUUGUUAUAACAAAAAAGAAAUCUAUCAUGGAAUAUAACAGUAAACUAGAAUUUUUUGAAAAUCAUAUAAUAAUAUCUUGCUAAGAAAAAUAAUUUUUUUUCUUUUCAGUCAUACCUAGAGAUGCAAAUGGAUCUUAGGUGGUGAAGCUUUUUCUUUGAUAUGUUCCGAAUGGGGUGAUAAAGUGUGUGUGUGUACAUAGCGCAGGACUGCUGUGCUUUCAGGAGCACGGCCGUUUUCGAUAAUAAAAUUUCUGAAUCGACGAUCGGUUCUGCUAGAUUUGAUCUAGCGUAUUUGAAGUUUCUAGAAAAUAAUUUUUGAGAUUUUUUGAUAUCAUUUAUCUAGCAAUCGAAAGGAUUCAAAAUCUACAAUUUUUAUCAAACCAUUUCAAAAUUAUCAAACCAUUUCAAAACUAUCAAACCAUUUCAGACUUGAUCUAGCCUUACUUUAUGAUCAAACCAUUUCAAAAUUAUCAAUUUUCAAUGGCUACUAUGACAAGUUUGGAGUUUAACGGUCUAGGAGAAUCUAAAUUUCUUCAAAUUUUGAUAUAGAAAAUACUUUAAACUAUCUAGAUUAAUGUUAAUAUUCUUGAUCUUGAAUUUAAAAGUCCUGUACUCAAAUUUUAAAGAUUAUUCAAUUUUCACCGUCCAUUUUGACAUAAUUUAUUUACUAAGUAAACGAUGUCGAAAAAAACUAAAAUUUUAUUCCUAAGAACUUUAUAUACCCUAGAUCAUAUUUAACGGUGUGGAUCAUUAAUUUGAACACCCUAAGAUCGAAAACAAGACUAUAGUACCAGAGCUCCGGUACUAUAGAUAGUAUAGUAACCUAAUUCUAGAGAGAGAGAGAGAGAGAGAUAUAUAUAUAUAUAUAUAUAUAUAUAUAUAUAUAUAUAUAUAUAUAUAUAUAUAUAUAUAUAUAUAUAUAUAUAACGUGUUGACAUAUUCAUAUGAAAAGAUUAGAAUUUAGAAUUUAAGAUAAAAUAAUAUUGCCUAGAAUUUAAUAAUGACAUUUGAGUUUUAGUAACGUGUUCAGUUUAAUGACUUAGCAGUUAUUUGUUCAGUUUAACGACUUGACGGUCAUNNNNNNNNNNNNNNNNNNNNNNNNNNNNNNNNNNNNNNNNNNNNNNNNNNNNNNNNNNNNNNNNNNNNNNNNNNNNNNNNNNNNNNNNNNNNNNNNNNNNNNNNNNNNNNNNNNNNNNNNNNNNNNNNNNNNNNNNNNNNNNNNNNNNNNNNNNNNNNNNNNNNNNNNNNNNNNNNNNNNNNNNNNNNNNNNNNNNNNNNNNNNNNNNNNNNNNNNNNNNNNNNNNNNNNNNNNNNNNNNNNNNNNNNNNNNNNNNNNNNNNNNNNNNNNNNNNNNNNNNNNNNNNNNNNNNNNNNNNNNNNNNNNNNNNNNNNNNNNNNNNNNNNNNNNNNNNNNNNNNNNNNNNNNNNNNNNNNNNNNNNNNNNNNNNNNNNNNNNNNNNNNNNNNNCAUUUUGACAUAAUUUAUUUACUAAGUAAACGAUGUUGAAAAAAACUAAAAUUUUAUUCCUAAGAACUUCAUAUACCCUAGAUCAGUUUUAACAGUGUGGAUCGUUAAUUUGAACACUCUAAGAUCGAAAAUAAGACUAUAGUACCGGAGCUCUGGUACUAUAGAUAGUAUAGUAGCCUAAUUCUAUAUAUAUAGAGUAUGGCUACUGUGCUAUUAGGAACAAAGCAGUCCUUAUGCUCCUAAGUUCUUAACCGCUCAUCAAAUUUGAUGGGUGGUUAGGGUGAAUGGGAGAAGAGUAAUUGGAGAGAAAUUCAAAGAGAAGAGAAAUUGAGAAACCCAAUUUCUCAAAUUUUGAAUGAAAUAGGAUUGAGGACAUUGUCCUAUCAAGUCGAUUUGAAUGAAAUGUUUAAAAACCAAAUUUUAUAAUAUUUAAAAAUCAUUAUCAAGCCUAUCGUCGAAGAAUCGAAAAAUAAACGGUCAUAAAUGAAUAACCUUCUUAAAAUAGAGGUUAGACUUUCUCAUUUCAUAAUCAGAGUUAUCAAACAUUAUCUAAAUAGUAUAAAAAAUUUUCUAUAAAAAAUUCAAGCAAUUUGGAUUACUCUACACUGUUAAGCAAGCAAAAACGGCUCAUAUAAGACGUCAAAAAUUGUCGAUUUUACGACACUUUGAUUACCAUGUAAAUAAUUUUUAAAAUUUAUAAAUUUAGUUUCUAGAUACUUCAAAUACUCUAGAUCAACUUCAACGGAGUUUUCUACCGUUAGAUCUACCCUUUGAUCAUUUCCACCCGUUAGAUUACACUAUUAAACCAACCACCCACUCAACCCUAGGGGACCACUAUCAAUUUUACUAGGGGCCACUAUCAUCCUAACCGCACAUCUUUUCAUUCAACGGUCGAAAACUCAAUAGUACCAAGGGCUUGGUACUAUUGAUAGUAUAGUAGCAUAUAUAUAUAUAAUAGAGUGAGGCUACUAUGCUAUCGGAAGCACGGAGCCUUCCGUAGCUUCCAGCUCUGUUUUUUAUGUUGCGACUUUCGAAUCGUCGAUCGGCUCCGUUAAACUUGAUCUAGCAGUAUUUAGAGUACGUAGAAAAUAAAUUUAUUAUUUUUCGAUAUCAUUUGCUAGUGAUCGAAUGGGCACAAAAUUAACAAAUUUCAAUGGCCGUAAGUGAGCCGUUUGCAAGUUUAUACGGUGUAGAAAUAUCCAAAUCACGUAAAAUUUUGAUAGAAAAUUCUUUAUACUAUAUAAAACAGAUCAAUAAUCUUUGAUUUAAAAUUUUAAUGUCAUAUUAUUACAUUUGUAAGAUUUUUAUUUUCAGCCGUUGAUUUUGAGCACUCUCGUUCACGUGGCAAAUGAUAUCGUAAAUCAUAAAAUUUAUUUUCUAGGUACUUCAAAUACUCUAGAUCAAGUUUUACGGAGCCGAUCGACGAUUCGAAAGCCGCAAUCGAAAACAAGCUGGAAGCACGGAAGGCUCGUUGCUCCGAUAGCAUAGUAGCUCAUUCUAUAUAUAUAUAUAUAUUAUAUAUAUAUAUAUAUAUAUAUAUAUCUAUAUAUAUAAUAGAUAUAGUAAGGUACUGUGCUAUUAGGAACAAAGCAGGACCUGUGUGCUCCUAAGUUCUUAACCGCUUCAUCAAAUUGGAUGGGUGGUUAGGGAGAAUGGGAGAAGAGUACUUGGAGAGAAAUUCAAAAAAAAAAAAAAGAAGAAAAGAAGAAAAAAUUGAAAAACCCAAUUUCUCAAAUUUUGAAUGAAAUAGGAUUGAGGACAUUGUCCUAUCAAGUCGAUUUGAAUGAAAUGUUUAAAAACCAAAUUUUGUAAUAUUUAAAAAUCAUUAUCAAGUUCAUCUUAAGAGUUGAAAAAUGAACGGUCAUAAAUGAAUAACCUUCUUAAAAUAGAGGUUAGACUUUCUCAAUUCAUAAUCAAAGUUAUCAAACAUUAUCUAAAUAGUAUAAAGAAUUUUCUAUAAAAAAUUCAAGCAAUUUGGAUUACUCUACACUGUUAAGCAAGCAAAAACGGCUCAUAUAAGACGUCAAAAAUUGUCGAUUUUACGACACUUUGAUUACCAUGUAAAUAAUUUUUAAAAUUUAUAAAUUUAGUUUUUAGAUAUUUCAAAUACUCUAGAUCAACUUCAAUGGCUCUGAUCAUCGAUUCAGAAUCUCUAUCAUCAAGAUCAAUUUGAUAGGAUAAGUGCUACUAUCCUAUUAAUAGAAUAAUAGCCCUAGUCUCUCUAUAUAUAUAUAGAACUAGGCUGAAAUACUAUCAAUAGCACCAAACUAUUGGUGCUAUUAGUUUUUUACCCCUUUGAUUGAGAAAUGUGCUGGUAGGAUGAUGUGGGCCCACUACGGUUGAGUGGGUAGUGGGUUGAAUAGUAUAAUUUAACGGGUAAAAAUAAUCAAAGAUUUAUAACUUGAUAGCACUAAGCCCUUUGUGCUAUCGCUAUUAUCCCAACCGAACUCUAUAUAUAUAUAUAUAUAAAACUGAUUCGGUGUUCCGAAUCUAUCCCCCCCUUUUUCUUUCUUUCUAUGCGUCCAUUCUAAUCAGCCAAAAAUCAGCCAAAAUUCGUUUUUAUGAUCUGCUCCCGAAUAAAGUGGUAAAAUGGGGGGCAAAAAUAAGGAUAAAAAUCAAUCUAUUUCGAUCUACCAAAUAAACGGGACGGAAGGCGGUAGGACUUCUCUCGCUUUCAUAUCUGCUCCGUUUGCAUCCCAAAUCACUCCCGGCAUCGCAAAUAGCAACUGCGAGAAGCGACAAGGAGUCAACCACGCUGCACCAUUCCCACAUGGCUCACCCAAGCAUACAUUCUGGCCCAGCUCGGUUCACACUCCCCCUGUGCCUAAACCCUAAUAAGGACAACAAAAACGUCUCUCUCUCUCUCUCUCUCUCCAUCACUUUUCUCUCUCUAGAUAUAGAGCGGACAAAGUAUGGGUACAGCUCACAACAUGGAAAUGCAGGAGAAGAGAAACACAGGAAAGCAAAAAAAAAAAAAGUAAUGCUAUGCGUACCCCUUAUUUGCGGAUGCAAACGGAGCGGAUCAGAGGGGCGGGAGGGGUCCCUCACCUCUCGCUUCAUUUUUUGUCGGGGCUGAUUCGGGACGGUUUAAUUUUAGUCAUGUUUUUUGGCCCUAACUUAUGGCUCCAUUCAUAGCGCAUUGGAGUAGGAGCAGUCUUUCAACGGAUCGUGAUGGAUCAAAUGAAAAAAAAAAAUUUUCACCUCUUGCUCCAUUUAUUUGAUAGAUUGGGGUGGAUUUGAGACGAGGCAUAAUCGCACUCACGGCCCCAUUCAGGCUGAUCGGAAUGGAAGCUCCACCAAUCCGGAUCCGUCUGCAUCCCUACCCUUAUUUAUUGCACUGCUACUUACGGUUAUGUAAAAGAUUAGGGGUGAGAAAGAUCGAAUGCGGUCAGAUUUUUGACAAAAUCAUAUUUGCUUUCAUAUAUUUCUUCGAGUGCGAAUUCAUAUAUGUAUUGAAUGUUAAAUUUUCGUUACUAUGUUCUUUAACAAUGAAUGCAGGUUCAGAUAUGGAUUAAGUUUAUACUCUAACAUUAUUCAAAUAAUAUAUAAAUAUGAACUAGAAUUAACGCGAAUAUAAUAUAAUGCAACUAAAAUUUUACACACAUAUUCCAUUUCACAUGCCUACAUAUUAUUUAAUAAAAAAAAAUGAUUCAAAAUCACCAUAUCUCCCUACUAGCUAGGGAUGAAAACAAUCGAAAACGAUCGGAUCUUUAACGAAACUAUAAAAGUAUUCAUAUUUUUUCGAAUACGGAGAUUCAUCGAAUGCUAAAUUUUGACAUUCGUAUUCGCAUUCUAUCGAAUUCAGAGUCGAAUAUGCGCGAUGAAACUACGAGGGGAUCUUUGAGGGUGCCUGUGCCCAGGUUCGAAGGGGUGGGUUCGUGGCUCACAUGCGAUGUCGCGGUACGCGACCGUGAUUUGCACAUGCAUGCAUCCCCAUUUAUAGGGAAAUUUUUUGAGAGAACAAGAGCAUGUAGUUUUUCCCGUGUCCUGCACCUGCGCACGUGCAUGGGUACGUGCGUUACGUGCUUUACAUUAAUGUUGAUGACGAUGGUAUAUUUUUCGGCUUAAUUACAAAUGUCCCCUUGUACUUUAGGUCAUGUUUUUUUUUUUAAUUUUUAUUUUUUUACCUCUUGUAAUAUAAUUAAAAGUGCAUCAAUUACCUCCUGUGUUUUGCUACUUCAAUUUCAGUGGAGAGCUCCUCAACGACGCCUUGCAAUCAAAUUGCAAUGGAGUCCUGAUCGGUCGCCUCGUGCCCACUUUUAUUUCUAUCCAAGUGUGAUAAUCGUUGGGUUUAAUUUUCUUUUUGGAUUUUAUAAAUAUUAAAGAAACAUCCAACAAAUUAUUGGAUAGAGGUAAAAAUUAACAAGUGACAACAGAUCGGGUGCUCUUCCACAAGGCGUUAUUGGAGAGCUCCCCUAUGAAGUUUUAUCGUUGUGAUGGUACCCUAAUGUUUGAAGUGUCUCAGUUCGCUAUUCUGUGAUUUUUACUCGUAUGACGCCGUUAAGACUGUCGUUAAGUAUGGUACUGAAUUAAAAUAUUUUAUAAUUUAGUACAAUACUUAUAAUAUAUUUAUCUAUAUCAUUCAAAAAGGGUUCUUAAAAAAUUAAAAUAUUUAUCAUCUUAUAUAUUUAAUACAUAAAAAAAUAAAAAAUAUUAUUUUCUUGAAUGAGACUCUUAUACACACAUGCGAGACUUGUAGCUGCAGCGGUAAUACAUAAUAAAUAUUAGUCCUGAGAUUGGAUUUUUUUUGAAAUAUUGGUUUGGGGUAAAUUAUUAUUUUAUAACUUAUAUGUCAAUUCUACAUAUCUUUGUUUUAUCCUAAUUAUUUGCUUAUGAUAUUGAUCUUUUUUGGUACCAUUAUAAAUGAUUAGAGCUAGGUGAUAUGAAAUUCUAGGAAAAUUAAUCAUCCUCAGCUAAUAUUUUGCAUAAAUUUACUAAUAAGAAGAUUAUCACCGUCCAUUAUUUAACACAAAUAAAAAUAAUGCUUGAAUACCGACCGUCCAUAGAGCAAGUGGCAAAGGGUUUGGUGGUUGGUAUCCGAGACCUGAGUUCGAAUUCUGGUUGAUUCAUAUUUCCAGCUAAAUUUAUUUCUAAAUGAAAUAAACGAAGCGGGUAGCGUGCUACCUAUCUCUCUAAAAUAAUAAUAAUAAUAAUAAUAAUGCCUGAAUCUUAGUGACUGCAUGUUGACCAUUUCAAGGAAUUAAUCAAGCAAUUCGGAAAGGGGUCAAAGAUGGGUUGAUGGCCAGUGCCCCCUAUAGCUAGGCCACCUAAGAAGCACACAGGUUCAGUCAAGUUGCACACACUUUCAUAACACUGAGGUACCCUCAUUUGUUUUAUCUUUUCCUUUUUUUUUAAAAAAAGUGCUACAAUUUAAAGUUUAAAAGAAUUUUUAAAUACUUGGAAGCGCGAAUGAUAUACACUUAUAGAAUUACUGUGCUAUUAGGAGCACUUUUCUAAUCAUUUAUUAAAUUUAAUGAGUGGUUAGAGUGAGAGAAAGAAGAGAAAUUAGAGAGAAAUUAGAUUUCUCAAUUUUUCUUUUCUUUAAAUUUCUCUCUCUUUUUUUUUUUUUUUCUCCCAUCCUAAUUACUCAUCAAAAUUAAUGAACAGUUAGAAAUUUAGGAGCAUAAGAAUUAUUGUGCUCCUAAUAGCACACUAGCUUUGCUCUCUCUGAGUAGGACUACUGUGCUAUUAGGAGCACGGCAACCCUUAUGCUUCUAAUUUUCUAAUCAUCCAUCAAGUUUAAUGGGUGGUUAGAAUGAGAGAGGAAAGAGAUAUUGGGGAGAAAUUCAAGAAGAAGAGAAAUUGAGAGACCCAAUUUCUCCCCAUUAUCGCUUUCCUCUUUCAUGAUAACCACCCAUUAAACUUGAUGGGUAGUUAGAAAGUUAGGAGCACAAGGACUGCUGUGCUCCUAAUAGCACAGUAUCCCUACUCUCUCUCUCUCUCUCUCUCUCUCUCUCUCUAUAUAUAUAUAUAUAUAUAUAUAUAUAUAAUUAGACUGGAAUACAAUUAAUAGCAUCAAGCUAUUUGUGCUAUUAGUUUUUUUGCCGUUGAAUUUAGAAAUAUACGGUUAGGAUGAUGUGGGCCCCUAGGAUUGAGUGGGUGGUUGGUUGAAUAGUAUAAUCUAACGGGUAAAAAUAAUCAAAGUGUUAAAUCUAAUGGUAGAAAACUCGAUAGCAAAUUUGGUGCUAUUGAUAGUAUCCCAGCCGGACUCAUAUAUAUAUAUAUAUAUAGAGAGAGAGAGAGAGAGAGAGUUUCAUUCGUUCUAAAAUUACUUUAGCUCUAGUAUAUUUAAUCUUCUUAAAAUGCUAUAGUCGUGUUAAAAGUUUUAAUUUUAUUAUAUUAUAUAUAUAUAACUAUUCAAAAUUUUAGGAGUCACAUAUUUUCGUGCUUUACGCUCUGACGUACUCAUUAGCUCAAGCACACUCAGAAGCAACGUAUAAAUAACAAUUAUUUUUUUAAAGAGACUUUUGCUUAUUUAUUUUUGACUACUGUUCAAAAUUUUUAGUUCUAAAAUUAAUAAGAUAUCCUUUUUAAACCCAAAUCUCAUUUGUAAACCCUAUAAAAGAAUUUGGAAAUACUUGAAGGGAUAUUUGAAAUUCAAUAAAAAUAGUUUGGUCAAUCGGAAAUAUAUUGGAUAUUUUGGAGUCUUGAAUGAUAUAUCAAAUAUUAUCCCUUUUUAAAAUUAUAUAGAGUUGAAAGAGUACUGAUAUUCGCACACCAAGUUUCUAGGUGUAAAUCAUGCAUCCUAACUUUUCAAAAAAAUCAAGAUAUACGCACUUGUCUCAUCAACCAUUUUUUUUAAUAUUAAAAAUUUAGAAACCGAUGGAGGAUAAGAUGUACACUCUAUAAUUGAAUACCCGAAAAGCAUUUUCCUAAUUAAAAAUAGGGGCAAUUUCACCACUACCCCUCUCAAAUAUGAAAAUAUCAUAAAUACCCCUACAAAAUUGAAAAUAUCAUAUAUACCCCUUCAAAUGCAAAAUUUUUUCACAAUUACCCUUCCAUCUAACGACUGUUACUUAAACUAUGGUUGAAGUUGGGUUAAAUAAAAGUUGAGUUACAAAAUGACUAAUUUAGCCCUAAAAAGGUUAGGUAUUAUUUUGAUAGCAAAUAAUGAAAUAAUUAAGGGGCAAUUUCAUAAGUACCCUUCUAAAUUUUAAAAAUACAAUAGACAAACCUUCUUUCACUUAUCGCAUUUCGACUCUCUAUUUAACUAUAAAUAAUAAUAAAAUGUGAAAAAGAAGUAUUAACUGAAAUGAGACUCCAUUCAGUUUUAGUUAAUACCAUAAAACUUUUAAAACUCAGAGCUAGCUUCUAUUUCAAUAUUACUUGGUUUUAUUCAUAAAUAUCAAUUUUUGAUCCUUUUUGAAGUUUUUGGGGGGGACACCAAAGUAUGUAAGAGUGAAAUCAUGGGACACCAAAUUUUGCAUAGUUAAACGGGGGGACACCAAAGCAAAAAUAGAAAAGUCUUCGAAAAAGCAAUUAUAAAGCAAUUUAAUAUAUGUUUUUUGAAGUCUAUUGGUAGAUACAAAUAACUUAUAAGUGAAAUCAUAGUAAAUUAAAAUUAAAACAGUGACUAAAUUCUUUUUUUAUUAUUAUUUUAACUAUUGUUUUUCUCUUUUUACUUUGGUGUACCCCCGUUUAACUAUGCAAAAUUUGGUGUCCCAUACUUUCACUCUUACGUACUUUGGUGUCCCCCUCAAAAACUUCAAAAAGGAUUUUUGAUGAAGUAGGGAGAAGUAAAAACCACUUUGUUUACGUGAGAACUGCCCCAAUUCAAACUCGUAUUCGCAUGAUAUGCGGAUAGACUAUCGAAACAUGAACUUGAAAAGCAAUUGUGAAACGAACUGUUGUUUAAAAUUAUCUUAAGUUAAUUUUAAUAAAUCCUCAAUAAAAAACAAACUUGCACACGUUAACUUUUUUUUUUUCUUUCUUUACGAUAGGUAUGUGAUAUAUAUUCACAAUAUGUACCGGAAUGACACCAGAUAUAAUUAGGUGAACAGAAUAGUUAAAAUAAAUUGAUUUUGAGGUUUCUUCGACAUAGUUAAUAAUUAACCUAAGUUUCUACAUUAUACAUGUGGGAUAUUUAUUCCUCAUAUAUUUAUCUUGAAAAUAGCAGUCUAACAAAAUCCAAAGUGAUGUUUGUUUCAUUAACACUACAAAUUAUUUUCAAGGUCCUCGUUUAAUUAAUUUUUCAUAUUCGUUGUCAUACUUAGUUUAAUAUAUACAUCCGUUCGAUGUGUUCAAAAUACGUUCGUAUUUAAGUUUAGCUCUCGUGAAUUUUAACUCUAGAGUUGGUAGUUUACACUAGUGCUUGUAUUUUUUACGUACGAGUAUUAAUUUUAAAAAUAUUAAAAAUUUUUUAAUUAAAAGUUACGUUUUUCACCACAAUUUUAUUUUUUGGACCUUAAAUGUUCUUUCUGGUCAAAACUUUUGAGUUCUAUUUCCAUAGUUGUUUAUAUAUAGAAAAAAUGGCGAUCCCGAUAAUAUGAAAAUAUUCACAUUUAGGAAAGAGUAUGCAAAAGUUAGGAACCUACUUUCCUAUACGCCAAUCCUACAAUCACCAGGGGAUCCCAACUCACCAACUAACCAACUUAUUAUGUACUAGAUUGUCUACUUUUACCAGUUUCCUCAUCUAGAUUGCCAGCUUUUUAAUAUUUGUGUUUUAUCUGUUAUGAGCAUUCUCAUAUCAUCGGCCUGUGUAAAGAUAUACAAUUUAUUAUGCUUUGAAACAAGAAUUUUUUAAAUUCGAUUAUAACUUGCCAAAAAAAUAUACAAAUAAAUUGUAAGGGAAAACUCAGACCCGAGCUUUAAAAAAACUAUUUAAGUACUACGCUUGAGUAUUGGAAGACAUAUUAUGUUACAAUUUUUUAUGCUUUGUUAGUAAUUAAAGACUUUCGAUUGAAUUCGAUUAUCUUUUUGCCAUAAAAUAUAAAAAAUAAAUUGUUAUAUCAAUUAUUUAGAGUAUACGACUUUAAUCUAAUAUUCAGCUUAUUACCUAACUGAUCUUUUUAAACAUACAAAAAAAAAAAAAAAACCCACUUUCUCUUUCUAUUGUUAGAUAAGUAAAACAAACAAGAAAAAUAUUUAUUUGAUCUUUAUAUUUUGUUCCUUAUUAAAGUAGUUAUGGGGAUACUUUUUAGUAUUAAAGUACCUAUUGGGAGAUUUGACUUUUUAUAGUAGUUAUGGGGAGAUUUUGGGUUUUUAUAAGUGUCUAUGGGAAAUCGAAUUGAAAGUCAGUUUACCAGCAGGUUAUAAAAUAUUUAUGGUUAAAAUGGGGAUCGUUGUUAAAUUUGUAAAUUAUAAAUUCUAAUUAAUAUACUAGUUAAAAAUUGUAAACUUAGUGUAUUAUUAAAUUGUAAUAAAGAUUUUAUAAUGUUAAUUUCUAGGUAUCAGAUAAUUCACACUAUCAAUUUAGAGUAAUACUAAAAAGCGAAAAUUUAAUAUGUAUCAAUAUUACGUUAAACAGAUGUCAUCUUAAGUUGUAAUUGAUAAAUUUCUAAAUAAAAAUUUUUAAAAUAAAUUUAUUGAGUGUAUAGAGUACGAUUUUUAUAAAACUAUAGUUUUAAGAGAUAUAAUCUCAUAAUGAAUAUACUAGACGAAUUUGUUUUAAAAAAAUUAACUUUUAAAUAACAAUUGUUAUUUCAUUUUAAAAUACUUUUGGGAGAGUAGAUAUCAAGUGAAGCUGUACUAGCAUUGAGUCUUUUCGCACUUUAAAUUAAAAGUCUAUCAAAUUUACCAAAUAUAGUAUAAAUUGCCACGAUUAACAGUUAAACCUUUAGGAUAGUAGCUUUUGUUUAGUAUCAUUGGGUUCAACAUGAUGGCUAUCAUAAUAUUGUUUUGAGAAAUAUAUAUAUAUGGGAGAGUUGGAUUCACAAAAAAAUUUUUUUAAAAUCGUUAACUCACAAAAAAAGGUUGUUUUAAUUUUUAAAAUAGUUUAAGUACGCUCCCUAGAGUUAAUUUUUUGAAAAUUGAUUCAUUUCAGUUUUAUUUUUUUUGACUAUCAAGUUCCAGAGAAAAUCACAAUUUUUUAUUUUGAAUUUCCCAAGAUCAAGUUUUACUAAAUGUUCACUCCCCAAAGAAAUAAAAAAUGGGUGAUUAUUAAUCAUGAUCUCUAUAAUNAUAUAUAUAUAUAUAUAUAUAUAUAUAUAUAUAUAUAUAUUGAGAGAGAGAGAGAGAGAACUAGGCUGGAAUACUAUUAAUAGCAUAAAUGACAUGGUGCUAUUAAGUUUUCCGCCCUUGGAUUAAAAAAUGUACGGUUAUGAUGAUGUGGGCCCCCAAGGGUUGAGUUGGUGGUUGGUUGAAUAGUUAUAAUCUAAUGGGUAAAAAUAAUCAAAGGGAUUAAUCUAACGGCAAAAAAUUUGAUAACAGCAACUACUUCCAAGUUGGUAUGCUUAUGGAAGCACGGAGCCCUCCGUGCUUAUGGAAGUAUGGAGCCCUCCGUUAGAGUUGAUCUAGAGUAUUUGAAGUACCUAGAAAAUAAAUUUUGCGAUUUUUCGAUAUCAUUUGCCUAGUGAUCGAAGGGGCUCAAAAUCAAUAAUUUUAACGGCCCUGGUGAGCCGAUUGCAAGUUUAACGGUGUAGAAAUAUUCAAAUCACAUGAAAUUUUGAUAGAAAAUUCUUUAUACCAUAUAAAACAAGAUCAAUAACUUUGAUCUAAAAUUUUAGUGUCAUAUCAUUAUAUUUUCAGCCGUUGAUUUUGAGCCACUUCGAUCACUAGGCAAACGAUAUCGAAAAAUCGCAAAAUUUAUUUUCUAGAUACUUCAAAUACUCUAGAUCAGGUCUAACGGAGCCGAUCGUCGAUUCGAAAGUCCGAACAUCAAAAACAAAGUGGAAGCACGGAGCCCUUCGUGCUUCCAUAAGCGUCCUAGCCGCACUCUAUAUAUAUAUAUAUAUAUAUAGAGUCCGUCUACUGUACUUUCGAAAGUACCGGGACCUCCGUACUUGUAAGUUAUUUUCGAUAAUAGGACAUCCGAUUCGAUGAUCGGCUCCGUUAGGUAUAAUCUACCCUAUUGGAACUAUCUGGAAACCAAAUUUUAUAAUUUUUUGACAUCAUUUACUAAGCGAUCAAAAGGUCCCAAAAAUGACUAUUUUAACGGCCGAUGCGGCACGUUUUUAAGUUCAACAGUGUAGAAAUAUCCAAAUUACAUGAAAAUUUAAAAGAAAAUUCUACUUAACGUCAAUAGCAAGAUCAAUACUUCCGAUUUGAAAUUUGAGUCAUUUAUCAUUGUUCUUUAUGAGAUUUUUAUUUUCAGCCGUUUAUUUUAAAGCUACUCAUUCACUAGAUAAACGAAGUCAAAAAUUAUAAAAUUUGGUUUCUAGAUAGUUCCAAUAGCGUAAAUCAUGUCUAACAGAAUCGAUCGCCGAAUCGAAUGUCCCAUCAUCGAAAACAACUUACAAGUAGGGAGGCCCCCGUACUUUCAAAAGCAUAGGAGUCUGGCUCUCUCUCUCUCUCUCUCUCUCUCUCUCUAUAUAUAUAUAUAUAUAUAUAGCACUUAAAUAUAAGUAGUAACUCCCAAGUAUAUUGAAGAGAGAUUAAAUACCUCCUGUCUCCUUAAAACUUGGGUUCUGUUUGGUCUUUAUGGUCCCAAUUAUUUUCAUUGCAGAAUCUUUAUCAAAGGAGAUGCAAAAAUGGUGAAAAGGGACACAUUUUUAGUCUUAGUUUAAGUUAUAUUAUGCAUGAGAAAUUUCAAAUUAGGCUAUUAUAUUAUUAAUAGUACCAAGCGCGUAUUAUUAGAAUUUCAGUACUUGGAUAAAAAAAUGUGCAGUUAGGAUGAUAAUGAUCCUCAGUUAGUAUUAUAGCGAUUCCUUUAGAGUUGAGUGGUGGUUGGUUGAAUAAAAUGAGUUAACAGAUAAAAAUAAUCGAUGAGAUAGAUUUAACAGCAGAAAACUCGAUAUCACCAACCAUUUAAUACUAUCGAUAAUGCAGUAGCCAGACUCGAAAAAUAUAUUUAUUUUAUACCGAUAGAAAGGUAAGAAAAAGGCAAAUAGUGUCCUGGUAUAAGGAGCUUCCAUAAAAUUAAUCUAACACAUCUUACUCUGCCGCUGCAAGAGUAGAAGUUUCCGAUUAGAGACCGUCUCUGAAAGCCAAAAAAGCUCAUCACUUGUUGCUGUGACAACAAUUUGGAGAUUUAUUUUUUUUGCUUCUAUUUUGGUUGUUUGAGUUUCAAUUUACAUUGUAUUUAUGACCACAAACAAAAUAAAAAAUUCUGUUUGGUUUAUUAUAAUUGUAUCUAGAUGGAGGGUGUAAGAUCAUGGCCCCCUUUUAGGGUGUAAAAGCAGGAUUUCCCAAUAAUAAAAUCCACAAAUGAAAUUUCCCAAUAAUAGUGUUUUCUUUUUUUGCUAUCAGCCAUUAAUAAUUAUCAAAAUGCACAACUAUAUAGUCAUUAAAUUUAAUAAAACCACUAUUAGUUUCACCAAAUCCAGUUACAAGAAUAAAACACUUGGGGGCUAUAAAUCAAAAAGAGAAUACUUGAGGGACCUAUUUCAUAAUGGCUUACAGUAGAGCAGUUGCUGGUAAAUUUCUACCAACAGUUUCAUUGGAAGAAGAAACAUUACCUGAUAACCUCCAAACCACACAAUUAAGAACUCUGUUUUUUACUUCAUGCAAGAAAUAUACCAAUUCAUUUUAAAAUCGUUUGGUUCGGAUAUAAGUAAAAACUAGCUAUUACGGAGAUAGAUACAAGUACGGGAAUAAGAAAAAUAGCAUUUGGAUAAAAAUUAAGUUGUUCCUGGAGAUAAGAAAAAUAACGUUUGAAUACAUAAUAUGAAAUAAGAAAAAUAAUGGAUAGUUAUAUAUAGAAAAUGAAGGUUGGUUGGGAUAGUUAUACCAACUUAUUUUAGAUACUCGAGAACUACUAUUCUCGGAUAAAAAAUUAGCGUUUGGAUAUAAAGGAGGUCCCAAUCCAAACGGGUUAACCACCAGAGAUAAUACCAAGCAAAUUAGUCACUCUGAGAUUUUUAUGUGAAAAUAUCCAAGCACAUUGUAUAAACAACACCAUCUUUAAUUUCGCAUGCCACUCUAGUAGAGCUGUUUCAAGAAGCACUAAUAUUUAAAUAUUUUUUAUUAAAGUUUAGCAGUUGGUUUCUAGUUCUGGAACUAGAGAUCUAAUCUAAAUACACAAGAUUCCACUAGAAGAAGCAACCACCAAAGUUAGAGGACUUUUCUAUAUCCUAAACAUUACAAGAUAACUCAAAGCACUUGCAUAAUAAUAAUAAGCCAUUAAAAGGAAAUGAAUCAACUAAAACAACAUCCUAUUGUGCUGUUUAACCUUUUGAUCUUAUUCAGGUCUAUCCAAGAACAAAUUAGUCAGUAGUUUUGCAUAUUUAUAUAUAUAUAUAUAUAUAAAAAGGCCCCCCCUUGCCCAAAAAUUCAAUACCACAAAUUACACCAAGAACACAAUUCAAAACCCCAAUAGAGAGUGAGAGAACAAGGAAGAUGAUGAUUUGGAUGGGAAAUUCACCAAAUUGCGAAUUAGGUACUAACUAACUAACUAGCUCUUCAAAGCGUAAACCAAGAGAGAGAACCCCUCACCUCGCUGCAUCUCCACCUCCUCGGCGCUGGCCCAAUCCAUGACCGUCGAUCCGCUGAUCGUCGACGCGGUCGACGAUGCCGUCGACGACGAGGAGCUCGUCUUCAACAAGCUCUUCUUCUUCCUCCUGCUUCUCCUCCUCUCGCCGCCGCAGCUACUGCUCUCGCUCCAAUUCCGCCUACUAAGCUUCCCCAGGUACUCCCCCACGACUCCCCCGUAGCCCCCGAAGCUGCUCCCCCUCUUCUUCCCCAGCGCCGAACCCUCGCUCUCGCACUUCGUUUUGGGGUCCCCUUGGGUGGAUUCCCUCUCGAAGCGGAACACGAACACGGCGCGCGGCGGAACGGCGCCGCCCGGCGGGGGGAGAUGCGGCGCGGUCGCGUCGCGCCAGGCCUGACGAGCGCCCCGGGGCGGGAAGAGCCAGCUGUGGAGGUCCCAAGAGAUCUGGAUGGGAGAGGAGUCGACGUCGACGGUGUCGCUGCCGCGGAACUUCCAGCGGAGGCGGCGGACGUGGAGGACGCGGGAGCCGUCGACGGCGAUCGACAUCGCCAUGUCCUCCCCCUUGCCCUUGCCCUUGCCCUUCCUCUCCUUCUCCUUCUCCUUCUCCUUCUCCUUCUCCUUCUCCUUCUCCUUCGACGUGAGGGUGAUGGUGAUCUCCCUCUCCUUGCCCCCGAACAGCGCCGAGGUCGCGUACGACCGCACCCCGCUACGCGCGUCCCGCCGCAUCGCCACGUGCUCCCGCCGCGAGAUCAGGAGCGCCUCCCCGCGCGGGGCCGAUCGCGCCGCCGCCCUCUUGUAGGCCUCGCCGCGGAGGUCGCCGGCGACGAGGGCGGCCUCGCCGUCCACGGCGACGGCGACGAAGUACCCUCCGGCAGGCUCCGGGGCCCCGCCCGGGGGGAACCGCGCGCGCGUGAGGUCCCACGCGAGCUCCACCGUCUGCGGGCCGCCGCCGCCGCGGCGAUCGCCGAGGUGGAAGCGCUUUGAGCCGCGGCGCUUCCAGAAGAGCCAGGGGCGGAUCCGGAAGGCGAGGGGCUCCUCCUCGUCGUCGCCGUCGCCAUCGUCGCGGAGGCGGAGCUCGGCGAGCAGGCAGAGGCCGAGGGCGGUGCGGGACCAGGAGAGGGAGACCAAGCCGAGGCGCGUCUCGUAGACGGAGGUGGAUCAGCUCCGGCAUCGUCUUCUCGCUCCUCCUGGCUUCCUAAUUCUAUACAGAGUUCGAUCGACAAAGCUAGGGUUUCGCAAAUCCCAAGCACAGGUUAGAGAGAGAGAGAGAGAGAGAGAGAGAGAGAGAGAUGUUUUUUUUUCCGAAGGAAAAUUCGAAGCAUAGAGAGAGAAAGAGAGAGGGGGUGGGAAUAAAUACGGAUGUUGGAAGGAGCGUGUGGUGUUCACCACGCACCGGGUGGUGACGGUAAACAAGGCAAGACCGUAGAACGAGCUGGGCCCCACUGAUCUCCCAGUGGACCCGCCAAAGUAUUUCCUAGACCCGGUUCACCACGUCAGCUAAUAAGUAGUACAUUAUAAAGUUGGUGUUGUUUUAAGUUAGAGCAAUAUCUUCAGUCAGACCCAAAAGAUAUAAAUCUUACACUCUAUAAUCUAAGAUUUAUUAUUGUAUUUAUAUUUUACCAUUUUAUUUAUACUAUUUAAGCUUUGUUUGGGAUUGCAUAAAAAUUAUGUUACGUACGGUGAGAAAGUAUAAUUAGAAAAUACUAUGUUUGUUUUUGUAUAUAAUAUUGCAUUCCGUAUAUUGCGAUGAGUCGGCUACGAUAUAUUUUCUACAGUCCCACUGGAGAAUAUAGAAAUAUAUCUCUAUAUACUUUUACUCAAACUCUAUUUUAUCUAAAUAGCGUCAAAUAGAUCUGAAUACCAAACUAAGUCUUAAAAUCUUAAAAGAUUUCUAAAUUUUAGAACGUGGGGCCUAAAAUGUAGACUUUCUUUUUUCUGAAAAUAUAUAGUUAUCAUUUUUUUUAGAGUUAGGUCUAGUUUGAAAUUGCGGUAUUCAGAUCUAUUUGACGCUAUUUAGAUAAAAUAGAGUUUGAGUAAAAUAGAUCUGAAUACCAAACUAAGUCUUAAAAUCUUAAAAGAUUUCUAAAUUUUAGAACGUGGGGCCUAAAAUGUAGACUUUCUUUUUUCUGAAAAUAUAUAGUUAUCAUUUUUUUUAGAGUUAGGUCUAGUUUGAAAUUGCGGUAUUCAAAACAUUCACUUUUAUACUUUACAAGGCUCGACAAAUUAAAAAAUCUACAAUUUUUCUCCUUAGUUACAUUUUGGUGGUAGAGAGAAAAAAUAUGAAAAAUGCUUUCGAAUUGUUUGAGUAUUUUAGACACUAUUAUUAGUAAAAAUUAAAAAUAUAAGUGCAGCCAAAUAUACCAUAAGUAUAAAUCAUCAUUACAUGCAAUUUAUAACUUAACAAUAAUCUACUUUUGAGAGGCAUAUGUUACAAAAUAUAAUGUCAAAUGAUGAAAUAUUUUUUUCAAAGUCAAAAGUGUUAGUGAAUUUAGCGGCAACCGUCAUUGUAAUUUAUAUUAUUGGAAAAUAUAAAUUAUUGGAAAAGAAAAGAUCGUAAAUACUCUUGAAUUUUUUAAAUAUUUUUUAAAUCAUAAAAGCAGUUGUUUUUUUGAAAAAUACAAUGGCAAAUUAGGCCAUACUUUUAUUUAUAUAGAGAAAUAUUUCAAAAUAGAGUUUUAAAAUUAUGGUUUUUUAGCAUUAUAGACCAUUGUAGGAUUGUGUUUGAGGAGCUGGGUUCAUGGUGGACCCAGUCUAGGCAAUAAUUACCUUGUGGACCCCACUCCACCCAACUGUUAUUGGCUCAAGUGUGGUUGGAUCCAUGGCUCCUGAGACUCUUCUCAGAUUCCACCAUUUCACCAUUCCAGCUUAUACAUGCUAAUACUUUACUAAUCAAUCACAUUAAUAAUAAUUAAUUAGGUAUAGCAAUUAAUAGGGGUAUAAUUAUUUUCAAAUAUAGGAAAAAAAAAAGGAACUCAAAAAAUUAAAAAUUUCACAAAAUUCACGAACAACUACAUGCACAUAAAACCAUCGAAUCUCACCGUUUAAGAAGCUGCAGUAAAAUUCAUAGAAUCGUGUGGUUUACAAAAUGUAGCAUUUUUUAAAAACUGAUAAAUAUGUAUUUCAUAUAAGAUUUAUAUCUAGUCAAUAUUAAGUCAUCCAAAUUCGCGACUAAAAAUUCGAGACUCCGUGUAUGCUUAAAUUUGAGACUAGAACUUUCUAUUUCGAGUUUAAAAUAUUUUAAAGAGUUUCAAGGAUAUGGGGUCUACAAGCAGGGUCUAAAAAAAAUUUCUACAUAGUUGCAUAAGAUAAUAAAAUGGUAAGCAUAGAUUAAAAUGAUGUCCAUUAAAAUUUAUUCUUGUAUUUCUAUACGACUAUUUAUUUAUUUAUUUAUUUAGAGGUAAUUGCUUAUAUAUUUUUGAAAUAUUUUCGGCUUUCUUAUUUAUCUCUUUUAAAAGAUUAAUAUUAAAAAUACCUUUUUAACGUUCCUUGUUAUUUCAAAUACAUUUCUAAAAUUAAAUUCUGUUAGUAAACUGUUAGCGACAGCUAUUAUCUUUGUGAAAACACUAUUUUGCUCUUUCAAAUAUGUUCUUCUACCGUCACAAACUUUUCUUUUUUGCCCUUGAGUUAGAGCAAAAAAAAGUAUUUUAAUUUUUUAUCUUUUUAAAUAUACUUUUCUACUAUCGCCAACUUUUCUUAUUUGUCCUUAAGUUAGGGGCAAAAUAAGUAUUUUGAUUGUUUUUUGACUCUAGUAAAAAUUUAACCUGAGUCAACAGAGGUAUUUUUGAGUAACGAAGAAAUAUACGAGGAGUAUAUCUAAAACAAAAAAAAAAGUAAGAAUAUAUUAGAUAUUUCAGAAGUUUUCGGAGAUAUAUUAGAUAUUAUUCCUAUUUAUUAGCAUUUUUAAGAGAGAGAGAGAGAGAGAGAGAGAGAGAGAGAGAGAGAGGGGAAAAGAGGGGACAUGUGAGUGUGAAUUGGUAUGGAUAGGUAGAGAGGCAGGUAAAGUGUUUCUAGAGAUUCUAUUGAGAAAAGGAGAAAAUGGGGAUGUGUGGUCAAAGUUGGUGCUUUAAUUUUUGACCUUUCUGAGGACCUGGGAAUUUUGAAGGGUCAGCACAGAUUAAUUUGGGGGUUAACCCAUUAGAGACCAAAUCAACUAUUUUGAAUAUCAUAUUAUCAAAUAUUGAAUGUGAUACUUACAAUAAGAAGCAAAAUACUUAGGUACAUAUUUGUCUAGAAUAGGAAUGUCAAUAUACUAAAUAGUCGAACCCAACUAUUAAAUCAAAUCAUUUAUAUAUAUAAAUAUAUAGAGUUGAGUUAGAAUACUCUUAAAAGCACCAAGAGAUUAGUGUUUUUGAGUUUUUAAUCCUUGGAUAGAGAAAUAUAAGGUUGAGAUGAUGAUGACAGGUUGUGGUAGGUGGAAUAGUGUUUGAUCCAAGAGCUAUUAGUAAUCAAGGAGUAAAUCUCCAAGGACUAUUAGUAAUCAAGGAGUAAAUCUAAGGGCUAGAAAUAUAAAAACACCAAAAGAGUGAUACUUCUAAAAGUAUUAUAUAUAUAUAUAUAUAUAAAAUAAAUUUUUAUGUGAGUUUGGUUUUAAGUUUGAGUUUGGUUCGAAUACAGACAAAAGCUAUAACCAAGCCCGAAUAUGUCGCGUUUUCAUCUUUUAUACCCAUAAUCGAAACGAUACUUUUUUAACAUCGGUUCAAUCAGUUCCAUUCGGAUUUGGAUUCGUAUAAAAUUUUGGUCAUUCAUACCCGUUAGCAUCCCUAAUUUAAAAAUGAGUCUUUUUGUGGGGUAAUAAUACAGCGGUCUCUUUCCAUCAUAAAUAUUUUUAAUUCUCAAACUAUCAAACUAUAAGAUAGAUGAUAUUUGGGUUCUCACAUUUUUAUUCACCAUUAUUUCUUGUUCAAUUGUUUUAAAUUGUUACUAUCAAGAUCUCAUAUUACAAUUUAAUUAAUUGAAUGAUUAGUGAUGUGGCCGAUACAUAGUAUUGUUGGGAUCGAUGACAUGUCAAUUAAAACGCAGUCAAAAAAAAAAAAAUGAUUGAGACAAAAUUUGCAACAAAUUUAUUAAGUAAAUUAAAAAAAAAGUAUAAAAUAAGAUGUUCAUGAAUCCAAACAUGACCUGAUAUUUUAUGCACUAAACCCAUCCAAGUCCUUUCGAUCGAAUUUUUUAUUUAUUGUAACAGCGAUAUGCUAAAAGAUAAUAUAUAUUUUUAGUCUAUUUAAACUUCUGUAGACACACCUUCAAGUAUCAAAACUUAAGAAAAACAAUUUAAAAAAAAACAUUCAUGUAUGAAAGUUUAAAUAUUUUUAAGGGGCAAUUGCUCAUAUACUCUUGAAAAAUUUUCGACUUUCCGAUUUACCUCUCUUAGAAGGCUAAUAUUAAAAAUACCCCUCCUAUGUUCCAACCUAUUUCUAAUAUACCCUUAGUUUAAAAUCUGUUAAAUAACUCUGUUAUCUCUGUAAAAUUAUUAUUUUGCCCUUUCAAAUAUACCCUUUUACCAUCACUUUCUUUCUUAUUUGUCCUUAAAGUCAGGAGUAUAAAAAGUAUUUUGACUUUUGGUCUUUUCCAAUAUACCCCUCUACCGUUACCAACCUUUCUUAUUUGCCUUUAAGUUAAGGGCAAAGUUGGCAUUUUAAUUUUUUUAACUGUGGUAGAUAUUUAACUCACGUUUAACUCAGGUUAACUUAACAGGAGAUAACUACGGAGGUAUUUUGCAAUAACGAUGGAACAUAUGAGGAGUAUUUUAGAAAGAAAAAAAAAGGGAGAUAAAUCGGAUAUUUUCAAAUGUAUGAAGAGUAUAUAGGUAAUUAUUCCUAUUUUUAAUGUCAAAUGUUGUAGUCACGUUAUCACCGUUAACACUUCCAUCAAAAGUUAUAAGACUAUAGUACACAAUUGAUAUUAUAUAUUUAAAUUUUUUAUACAGUAAAAUAUUUAAGGUACAGAAUAAUUAAAAUACAAAUCAUUUUUAUAAUUAAGCCUUAAUUUUAUCUCACUCUUGAUUAUUCCUUGUGCUUGGAAUACACUUAUUAUGCAUCAAUCAUUGCAUAUCUAACUAGUUGCACCUUAGUGGCAAGUUUUGGUUUUACUUAGAAGCAACACCAUAGAACAAAAUUCCAAAGCAAGUUAUUGUAGAUAUAUGGUGCAUGUUGUUGCUUUUGCUUCAUUUCUGACGAUAGGGCAUCUGAGUUGACGAUCGGUAUGAUUAAACCUAAUAUACUUUAUUUGAACUUAUUGUAAAUAGUGUCGUUGCUUUCCCCUCAUAGUGAUCAAACAGUGGUAAAUUUACUUUAUAUGAGCCAUUAAAAAUUAAAUUGCUAAUUUUGAGAUCACUUAGAUGUUAAAAAUUAUAAAAUUCAGUUCCUAAAAAGAGUUCAAAGAGUCUAGACUAAAUUCAACGGCGCAGAUCAUUGAUUGAGAUGCCCUAUUGUUGAAAAUGAUACGCAAAUAAACCGCCUGCAUUUACUUCUAAAAAUAUUCUAGUUUUGUUCGUUAUUUCGCAAGUUUAUCGGAUGCAGUCCCGCGUGCUGAAAAAUUUUGCGUAGGAGAUUUGUUGUGCCAUCUACUUCUACAAGAAUUCUAUCUUUUCUCCUAAUUUCAAACGUUCAUCAAAUGCAAUUCCGAGUGCAAUUUUUUUCUUUUUUUUUUUUUAUAUGCGGUGUAAUGCUGAAGGGUCGUUUAGUUAGAUGUAAUUAUAAAUAUAAUAUAGUUGGAGACACAGUUGAAAAAUAGCAGUUAUAACUACAUGCAACUUCUUUUAUUUGAUAUAGAAAAAAAUAUUGCAGUUAUAAAUAAUUUGUUUGGUUGUGUAGAGUUGAGAAUUGAAUUUAUAAAUCUAAUGUAGAAGAAAAAGAUAUCUUUUAUUUAAAAAUUAUUUGGAGAGGAACUCCAGCAGGAACCCGAGGUUUGGGUCCAAAUCUAGAGAUGGUCGAAAGGAGGAUGAUUUACCUGCUACUAUUUUGACUAUGUCUAAAACUACUGCUACUUUUACUAUUUCGUUCAGCUGAAAUGUAGAAAUUGUUGGAUGUGACCCACGUGAUUUAUUCAAGACGAUCUAUAAAGAUACAUACAGUAGGUCUAUUUAAGUCGAUCUAUAAAGAUACGGUAGAUCGAACGAUUAGAAUAUAUCUGAACACGUUCUUGAUGGACGGACGUCCCGGUUUAACCCUAAUUCAAUUUUCUGUGACGGUUUCAUCUCCGGAGAUAAGGGAAUUAGACUCGAAACUUUUCGUUUUUUUGCGGAUUACGAACGAGAACGAAUCACAAGUAAGAAUCGUCGUCUAUAAUUCAGAUAUUAAAAUCGAAAUCUUAACAGAAAGUACGAUCUUAGUUUCUAUAAAGUUUCAACAGAAACUACUACUACUACUAACCUACUCUCAGGUACAAUACGAAAAGCUGAAAUGUAAAAGCUACUACUACUGCUAUCCUACUCUUGGUUGGAAUACGAAAGCUACUGCUAUUUUUGAAUUGCCUGAAUAAUUGAUGUAUUAUUGUUUUUUAUGAUGAAACAUUUAAUUUGACGAUCAAGAACAAGAUCAAUACGUCUGAUUUGAAAUAAAUUUUUAUUAUCUUUUUUUUUAAAGAAUUUUAUUUUUAACCGGUCAUUUUGAGACUGUUCGUUCACUAGGCAAACAAAGCCAAAAAAUUAUGAGAAUUAAUUUUUAGGUAGUUUCAAUUCUGUAAUUCAUGUAUACGCCCGAUUUGAAAUAAAUUUGAAAUAAAUUUUUUAGUGCCUUUUUUUUGAGAAUUUUAUUUUUAACCGUUCGUUUUGAGACUGUUCACUCACUAGGCAAACAAAGCCAAAAAAUUAUAAGAAUUAAUUUCUAGACUAGAUAGUUUUAAUACUGUAGAUCAUAUAUAAUGGAGUCGAUCGCCGAAUCGGAUGUCUCAUUAUUACAAAUGAGUUAAUUUCAUACAUGUCUCUGCAAAUAUAGUAAAUGAUAAAUAUAUUUCUGCAAAGUUCAACUUUCAUAUAUUGUCUUUUCAAAAAUUCUAAUAUUUUCAAAUAUGUUUCUCUAAUUUGUUACUGUUAAAGAACUGUUUAUAUUUUUCAAUUUUACCAUCACAAAUAUAUUCAUGCAAAAACCAUAAUAGUAUAAUAUAAAAAGAUAAAAAUAUCAAAAAUUAAUUAGGAUAAAAUAUUUAAUCUAUGGUUAACUAAAUUUUUCUAGCUGAUUCUAACUGUAAGGUCAUAUUUGAAAAUAUCAAAAUUUUUAUAAAAAUAAUAUAUAAAAAUUAAAUUUUAUAAAAAAAUAUAUUUAUUAUUUACUAUAUUUAUAGGGAUAUUGUAUAAAAUUAACUCUAUAAAAAACAACUUAAAAGUAGGAAAAAAAAUUCGUGUCGCAUAUGUAAAUUAGCACGAAUCUCAAAGCGACAAUCCCCGCUAAAUUUUUGUCCCGUACUAAUUCCAAAACAAUAAUUUCUCGUCCACCAAAGCGCACGUGGCGGCGACGUGGACACGAAGCAAAGCCAUUUGAACACCACACGAAUUUAUUUUCAACUCCGUGUUUUUUUUUUUCUUUUUUUUUUUGUAUAAUAUAUAUAGAUUUUGUACUCUACCUGCAUAUACAUUGAAUGCGUGCAUGUUCCGCACAUAGUUUCUAGUAAUAAUUAAGUUCACAAUUGUGGCUAAAUCCCAUUUAAUGAAGUUAUUAUUAUUAAUAGCCUUUAUUAUUGACUUUUUUUUUAUUUUUUUUUAUUAUUUGCAUGGAUUGAAAGAAUAGAUAAUUACUUAUAUAUAUCUCUCUCAAAACUUUUGAAAUAUUAUAUAUAUAUAUAUAUAUAUAUAUAUAUAUAUAUAUUGUGCGCUUGGUAUGCUUAUUAAAAGCACGGAGCCCCUGUGCUUCUAAGUUGCUUUCGAUAUCGGACUUUCGAUCGCACGAUCCGGGUCCGUUAGAGUUGUAUCUAGAGUAUUUGAAGUACUAAAAAUAAAUUUUAUGGUUUUUCGGUAUCAUUUGCCUAUGAUCGAAGGGGUCUAAAUCAAAAUUUUAAUGGCCGUGGUGAGCAGUUGCAAGUUAACGGUGUAGAAAUACUCAAUCAUAUAAAAUUUUGAUAGAAAAUUCUUUUAUACCAUAUAAACAGAGCAAUAACUUUGAUCUAAAAUAUUUUAAUGUCAUAUCAUCAUAUUUUGUAAGAUUUUUAUUUUCAGUCGGUGCAUUUUGAGCCAUUCGAUCACUAGACAAAUGAUAUCGAAAAUCGCAAAAUUUAUUUUCUAGAUACUUCAAAUACUCUAGAUCAAGUCUAAUGGAGCGAUCGUCAAUUUCGAAAGUCGAACAUCGAAACAAGUAUGAAGCACGGAGCCCUCCGUGCUUCAUAGCAUCCUUAGCCGCACUCUAUAUUAUAUAUAUAUAUAUAUAUAUAUAUAUAUAUAUAAAGUGAGCUAGAAUACUCUCGAUAUAAACGGGCGGUUUUACUAUCGAGCCGUUUUUCGAUUAAAGAGCUCCAAUAUUGACGAUCGCUUCCGUUAAAUAUGAUCUAACAUUUAAGACUACCUAGAAUAAAUUUACGCACUUAUCGAUAUUGUUCAUGUUUACGCAUCUAGUGAACAAAAAUAAUGAAUGAGCUAAAUGAAUAUCUUUAAGAAAAUGAUGAUAGGAAGUCUUAAAUCAAGACUCAAGAGUAUAACGAUCUCUGUUUUUAAAUAGUUUAAAGAAUUUUCUAACAAAAAAUUCAAUGAUUUUGGAUAUCUUUCACCGUUAAACGAGAAAACAUCUCUUAUUCACCCAUUAAAUAUAUAAAUUUUGAAACGCCUUUGAAUCAUUAGGACAAAUGAUUCGAAAAGAUUGAAAUUGAGUAUUCUAAACACUUCAGUGUAUAGAUAUGUUUCAAUCGAGCCGAUCGUCAAUUUGGAAGUUUUCUAUCAUACGACACAACUCGAUAAUACACACAUCCAUUUACUAUCGAGAUUAUUCUAGCUCAAGCUAUAUAAUAUAUAUAUAUAUAAUAAUAUAUAUAUAUAUAUAUUAUAUAUGUAUAUAUACAUAUAUAGAAUUGACGUAGAAAUCUUUACAACCGUAAUUACGAUCCCAUGAAUGCUAAUAGGUUUUUAGCCAUUGCAUCUACUCCUAGAUACUAUAGGUCCUUAUGGAGUCAAACCUUUCUACCUACCACCACUACACCACCUACUAUCAUCUAUCUCAACCUCACAACUCUCCAUUCCAAUGGCUAACAAACUCAAAAGCACCACUCACAUAAUACUUUUUACAAGUAUUCUAGCUCAACUCUAUAUAAUUAUAUAUAUAAUAAAUAUAUAUUAUAUUAAUAUAUAUAUAUAUAUAUAUAUAUAAAUAAUAUAUAAUAAUGAAUUAUGCAUACUGAUACCUAUCAUAGUACCAAGCUGUGAUACUAAUUGGUUUUGCUGUUGGAUGAAAAGGAUGUCGGUUAAGAUAUAGUGCUCCCCUAGGUGGAUGAGUGUUGGUUUAAUGUAUAACAUCUACAAUUGGGUGGAAAUUGAUUAAAGGGUAUCUAACGGUAGAAAAACUCUAUAGUACCAAAGGCCUUGAUAUUAUCAUAGUAUACGUACGACUCCUAUCAUAUACUAUAUAUUUAUACUAUAUAUCUUAGAGUCGGCUGCUAUCUAUUAAAUAGCACAAGCACUUGGUACUACACAGAUUUUUACCGUUUAGAUCUACCUUUUAUAUUUUCACUCGUUAGAGUCAUACUAUUCACCCAACCCCACCACUUCAACCCUAAGGGCCACAUCAUCUAAACGCACAUACUCUUAACCAAUGGCUAAAACUUGGUACACCAAUAACUUGUAACUAUCUAAUAGUUAUAUUAGCACUGUUCCCUACUUAUCACUAGUAUCUCUAUAUAUAUAUAUAGUAGCUUGGCUGUAUCGCUUAUGGAAGCCACGAGCCCCUCCGUUAUUUCAACUUUGUUUUUCGAAUGUUGCGCGACUAUUCGAAUGCGAGCGAUCGUCCGUUAGAGUUGAUCUAGGUAUUUGAAGUACCUGAAAAUAUUUUGUGGAUUUUCGAUAUCAGUUCUGCCUCAGUGUCGAAGGGUGCCUCAAAAUCACAUAAAAUUUAAUACCACGGUGAGCCAGUUGCAAGUUUAACGGUGUAGAAUAUAUCCAAAUCCGAUUGCAAAUUUUGAUAGAAAAUUCUUUAUUACACAUAUAAAACAGAUGUACUUUAUGCCAAAGCAUAUUAAUUUUGAUCUAAAUUAUAAUGUCAUAUCAUCGAAAACAAAGUCGAAGCACGAGCCAUCCGUGUUUCCAUAAGCAACCACACGCGACAUAUAUUGAAUCAAUAUAAAUACCUUAUAUAUUAUACUAUAUAUAUAUAAUAUAUAUAUAUAUAUAUAUAUAUCAAAUAUAUACAUGGUAUAUUUCUUCGUUAUUCAAUAAUAAUCACGCCGUUAGUAUCCGCUAAAUAAUCUCGGGCUAAAAUUAACUGGAUUAAAUUUCUAUCAGAGUUAAAAAUAAUUAAAAUAUCUCUUUUGUCUCUAAAAGCACAAAUAAGAAAAGUUGAUGAUUAGAAUAGUAUAUUUGAAAGAAAAAAAAAAGUUAAAAUAAUUUUUUUGUUUCUUACUGAUAGAUAAAUAAAAAAAGUUGAUGACGAUAGAAAAAUAUAUUUGAAAGGAUAAAUAGUAAUUUUACAGAGAUACCGGUUGUUUCUAAUCAUUCACUAAUAGAAUAUAACUUCAUAAGUAUAUUUGAAAAAGCUUGAAACGUUAAAAAAGUUUUUUUUUAUAUAUUUGGUUUCUAAGCAGGGUAAAAAAAAAAAAAAGGUUAGAAUUUUUUUUGAGUAUAUAAGUAAUUGCUCAUGAAAGAAAAUGACAAAGAUAAAUUGCACCUCUAGUCCAUCCAUUUUAGUUCUCAAACUUUAAAUUCAAUAAAUAAAUGCGAAACUUUUAAAAUUAAGGCCUCGCUUGAUAUUGCUGUGAUUUUAUUAUUUUGUAAAAUAAAAUUUUUAUAUAAAAUGGUAUAGUAAAGUAUAUUGAUUUGCUUACAAUUCUUAUAUUAAAAGUAUUUAUCUGGCAAUAAAAAAUUUGAGAGUAACAUUUUUUUUUUGUUUUGAAUAUUUUUUUUAUCCAAUCGAUUAUUUCUUAUUAUAGUUGAAAAUAUUAUGUUUCUAAAUUUUAUAAAAAUAAUAAUUAAUGCUUUUAACUUUUUGAAUCUUUUAUCUGCAAAAAUGCGGUAGAAAUGGAUAUUCUCUAUAAUUUUUUUAAAAAAAGUAAAUUUACGCUGCUUUUCCGAUGAACCAAACAUGAAACACCACUAUAAAAUUAGUGUUAAAAUUUUUAAAAAAAGGGAAAAAAGCAAUGAUGCUAAACAAGGCCUAAUUAUUUUACUUUAUUCCUUACACAUAUUUACUACAGGAAAAAAAUAUAUAAUAUACAAUACACAGAUAAACGGAUGAAGCGGAUAUAGAAUUUAUUUUUUUAUUUUUUUCAGAAUAAAGAUAGAAGCGAAACAAUUUAAAGAGUUCAGAAUCUCAAUUGCGAAACUUAUGAUUUACUCAAAAGAAAAAUAUAUCUAUCAUGACAAAGAACAAAGGAUCGAUACUCAAUUUGGAAACAUGAGCUAAAGUGACAAUAAAAAAAAGAUACAUAUAUAUAAUUAUUAAUAAAUAGAAUAAUUCCAAACAACUAAUACACAAAAUUAAAAAGAAAGGGAAAAAAAAAGUAAUAUAUAUAUAUAUAUAUAUAUAUGGUUUUUGUCCAACAAAGAAUAAGCUGGCGAUUGCGAGGAUAUAUAAAUACACAAACGUACUUCGUACGUUGGCAUCCUCAAUUAGCCCAUGCUGUUUACUUAUCUAUAAAUUAAAUAUUAAUAAAAGCUUAUAAAAUGUCACUAUCUCUCAUUCAAUGAAGAAAAAUGAGAAAUUGACAUGAUUUCUCUUUUUAUUAUUAUUAUUCUUUGUCUACAUUGCACCUUUUUGUUCUAAAAAUUUUAGGGUCCCGACAUUUUGGUUCUUAAAUUGUAAUUUAUUUUAAUUUUUGUCUCAACCUUUUUAAGUUAUUGUAAAUAAGUCCUACAGUUCAAUUUAGUUAAGUGGAUACUGAUAGUAACACAUCAGCAGUACUAUAUUAAGGACGCAUCGCUACUUAAUUAGCAAACUAAAUUGGACCGUGGGAUUUGAUGAUAAUAAUUUAAAAUAUUUGAGCCAGAAAUUGUAAUAAAUAAAAAUUUGAGGAAAAAGUGUCAUGUGUCUCAAAGUUUGAGGACCAAAAUUGCAAUUUAGCCCUAUACAAUUUAGGAAAAACUUAAAAUUAGCCCUUAUGUGGUUUAACAUACUUUUAUUUUGUUAUCUUGUUGUUUGAAAAGUGUUGCUUUGCCUUACUGUGAUCUUCUCUUUAUUUCACUGCAAAAUUCUGUAGUUAAACAAAAUAAUAAAAUAAUAUAUUUUACAAACAAGUGUUACAGUUUGCCAUGAAGUGGUUUAUAUAGAAUAUUCAUUUUCCUAUUUUAUGAUUUGCAAGUUUUCCUAUUUGAGUACACCAUUGUUUGGAUUGUAAGCACUAACCAACUAUUUUAAAAGCACACAUGAUGAUACAAAGGGCUUAUUCAUCGUAUUUAAAGACUUAGCGGCAAUGCUCAUAUACUUCGACUUUACUCAACUCAUAUAAAUGAUAUGCCUAUUGUUGGGUCUCUUACUGUUAGGUUUAUUAUGAACCACAACUUCACUCUACUUAUUAGACUUAUCCAGCCAAACUUAUUUAGUCUCCCGGGCCAAUUGUCAUGGAGCAAAAGGAUGAACCUAUUUUCUUUCCAAUUUCUCCUCACUUUCUCACCCUAAUCACCCAUCAAAGUUGACGGAUGGUUAGAAACUUAAGAGCACAAUGGCUACUGUACUCCUAAUAGCAUAGUAGCCCUACUUUCUCUCUCUAUAUAUAGAGAGAGAGAAAGAGAGAGUGAGUAGAGCUACUAUGCUAUCGAACGUAUAGAAGAUUUGGUGCUUCAACUUUUUGGUCCUUAGAUCAGCCUCUUUAAUCAUUUUUAACUUUUGGAUUAAUACUAUUACACUGUAGGGAUCACUUAACCCUAGGAGUACUACUCAACUCUAGGGUGGACUGCAAUCAUUCCAACCAUAUAAUUCUUGAUCAAAGGGUAAAAAAUCGGAAGAAUCAAAUUCUCUAUGCUUCCGAUAGCACAGUAGCACUAUACUCUCUCUCUCUCUCUCUAUAUAUAUAUAGAAAGAGAGAGAGAGAGAGAGAGAGAGAGAGAGAGAGAGAGCAAGGUUAGUAUACUAUUAGUAGCACGGAGGCCACCAUACUAUCAAAUUGUUUUCAAUGAUGCAGCUUUCAAAUCGACGAUCGGUUUCGUUAGAGUUGAUCUGUACUAUUAAAGUAUUUGGAAACUAAAUUUAAUAACUUUUUGACAUCAUUUAGCUAGUGAUCAAAAGGUCUCAAAAUUGACAAUUUUAAUGGUCGAUGUGAUGCAUUUGUGAAUUUAACUGUGUAAAACAAUAUAAAUCUGAUAAAAUUUUUAUAGAAAAAUCUUUUAACUAUUUAGAGUAAAAUUAGUACCUCCGAUCUAAAAUUCAAGUCUUUUAUCAUCAUUUUUUAUUAGAUUUUUAUUUUUAGCCGUUCAUUUUUAGACUACUCGUUUGAUAGGUAAAUGAUGUCGAAAAAUUAUAAAAUUUAGUUUUCAAAUAAUUUCAAUAGUGUAGAUCAAGACUAACAGAACUGAUCGUCGAUUUGGUAGCUGCAGUAUUAAAAAUAACUUGGCAGCACAGAAGCCUCUGUGCUACCGAUAAUAUACCAGUCUUUCCCUCUCUCUCUCUCUCUCUCUCUCUCUCUCUCUCUCCAUCCUCAAUCAUCCACAACGCAUGUUGCUUCCCUUAUGUCGAACGCGUGUGUAACGACCCAGCCCACCAGUAACAAUAACUCAUUGGGCCCAACGACCAGCCCAAAAUACUUAAGCCCGGUUAUUAUUACUAGUGUCAAAGUCUUUUAUAUACCCAAUCACAUCUCCAUUCCUAUCCGAUAUCUAAGUCUCUUAUAUACCCAAUCACAUCUCCAUUCCUAUCCGAUGUGGAAUUAUUGAGGUGUGACAGACUCCCCCCAUUAAGGUCCUGACGUUCUCGUCAGUCCAAUCACACACACAGCCCAAGAUCACCAGGCGAUGUGAGACUCGUCUCGCUAGCCCGUCAUCCAGACACUGGCUCAGCCGAGACUCGCCACACAUUUUCGGUUGGUGAACUGACUCUGAUACCAAAUAUAACGACCCAGCCCACUAAUAAUAAUAACUCGUUGGGCCCAACCAUCAGUCCAAAAAGUUUAAGCCCAGUUAUUAUUACUAGUGUCUAAGUCUCUUAUACCUAAUCACAUCCCUAUUUUUAUCCGAUGUGGAAUUAUUGAGGUGUGACAGCAUGUUGCUUUUCCAUUCUAUUUUCUUUAUAUUUUUUAUUUUGCUAAAAAAAAAGGUUUAUAAGGAAGGAGUGAGAGAAGAGAUUAUAAUAAUGGCAAAUUGGAUUGGGUUUUAAAGAGAAAGAAGAUGAGGAAGAAGAUGACCAUUAAAAUUUUUUUACCAGUUGGGGCUUUGAAGGGACAAAUUUGUGAUGGUAAAAUUGAGAUUUCAUUUAUCUGUUAUUAAAAAAUAAAUAAUUCUCUAACGACAACAAACCAGAGGAACAAAUAUGAAUAUCACUAGACUUUUACAGAUAUAAGAGUUAAAAUUUGAACUUUAUAGAAAUAUAUUUGAUAUUCGAUAUGUUUACAGCGUUGUAUGCAAUUAAUCCAAACAAAGAUGUCUACUUAAAUGAGAGAUAAUUAAAUAAGACUAAGAGAUGUAUUGUAUUAAAAUUCAGGCCUUUCACUCUGUUACUAUGUGAAACAAUCGAUAACUCUAAAAACUGAAGCUAUAAGUGAAUAAAUAUUGUAUAUAUUUAUUCAAUAAUUAUGUUAUGAAAAAAAAAAUCAGUUAGAUAGUAAACUGCCCAAGAAUAUAUCUGUUAAUAAGUGCAUUGUAUUCAAAUGAAAAAAAAAAAAAAUCUGAUUUUCAAUUUUAAAAGAAUCUAAUGUCAUUUAAGGCUAUCUAGCUGGAAGAGUGAUUUCCCAACCAAAAAACUUAAUUAAAAGCCUUCUUGAUUAAUUAAUUAAUUAAUUACUUCAGUACAAUAAAGCUUUAAUUAAUUUCAUGAAACAUGAAAUAGCCAUUUUUGUCCAACAUUAUAAUGGAGUUAAUUAAAGAGGGCAAAAGCACAUGAGCUUUUCUUCUCAAUUAAAGCUUUCUCUUGAGUCUUGCCCUUUUUCUUUUUCUUUUUUUUUCUCCAUAUCUAAAAGCACUUAUUUUUGUUUGGCCUUUUCAAUUCCCUUUCAUUUGCUGCUUCUCUGUGAAUAGGGAUGUCAAUGGGUAUAGAUACCCGAACUUUUAUCCGAACCGAACCCGAAUGAAACGGAUAUAAUCCGAUGGAUAUGGAUUCGGAUAUGGAUAUCAAAAAUAGAAACCCGACGGAUAUGAAUUCGGAUAUGAAUUUUGAUUGUACCCGACCCGAACCGAUGUUUAUUAUGUAUAUAUAUAUAUAUAUAUAUAUAUAUAUAUAUAUAUAUAUAUAUAUAUAUAUAUAUAUAUUAUAUUGAUGUUAUAUUGAAUUUGUAUUUGUAUUUAAAAAUUGAGUUAAUAUAAUAUAUUUUGAAAUAUUGAAAAAAGAAAUAAUUGUUUCAGGUUCAAAUUUUGGAUUUGUUUCGGUUCGGAUUCGAUUUCGAAUUUUUUGUAGGGUUCGGUUGGAUAUGAUUUGUAAAAUCCGUCGCGGUUCAGAUUCGAAUUCGGUCUCGGGUUGGAAUCGGGUUCGGUUCGGAUUUUAAAAAUCACACUGAAUCCAACCCGUUGACAUCUCUUAUCUCUCAACAUCAAUGGCCCAUUUUUGGCUUUUUUGGAAUAGGUUGCAUGAGUCAAAACACACCAAACCUAAUGGUAUAAAGUAACAACCCAUGUGCAAUGAUUCCCUUCUUCUUUUCAUUUCUUUUUUUCCAAUUUUUUCUCCUCUCUCUCUCUCUCUCUCUCUCUCUCUCUCUCUCUCUCUCUCUCUCUCUUUUGAACCCAAUCAUACACAAUUAAUCCUUCAAUCCCCCACUUAGAUUACUUGGCCCUAAAAAUUAGUUAGUGCAUAAAUAUAUAUAUAUUUGUACCUGUGAGAGAUUAAAGUUACUUAUAAAACUUACAAUAAUGGAUGUAGUAUUUUUAACUUCGAUAAGAAAGUGCAUAUACUUUUGUAGAGAGCCAAAACUUGGCAUUUACAGCUCUCAAAAGUACAUAUUUGGCACAAUCUUAUCUUUUCGUUCUUUAGUAGUAGUAUAAUAUCUUCUCAUUAAAAAAAAAAAUUAUAUAUAUUCUUAUUCUUAUUACACCUGUUCUUAUUCUUAUAUAUUUUAUCACAUACAUAUAAAAAGAAAAAUAAAAAUACAUUAAAAGACUUUUUUUUUAAGCUUUGAGGGACUUUUUAUUUCUAUGGUAAAAAUUUAAAAAAAAUUGGUGCAUUUUCUUGAGCUUUCUAUAACACGUUGAUUUCAAUUCUUAAAGCUAGUUUUUAGUUAUCAAAUAAUUAAAGCCAUAUAUGGAAUCAUCAUCUCUAUUACUCCCUGCUCACCAAACUCGCAAUUAGUAGCCACUACUUAGCCUAAUGAUGAUUAGUUACGCAGCGCCUCAUCGCCUACGAAAUUGAAAAUUCAAUUCGUUGCGUGUCUGUUUUUCAAAAUACAUCAGGACUUUUGCAGGGACAAUAUAUGAAAGUUGAACUUUGUAUAGAUAUAUUUACCAUUUACUAUAUUUGUAGGGAGCUAUAUAAAAUUAACCCAUAAUAAUAAUAAUAAUAAUAAUAAAGCAAAUUUAAAAUAAUUCCAAGAAAAACAAAAUGAAAAAUUGUAAGGUGUCUCCCUCACAAAGAUGCUUAUAAUGUGGUGGGUCAAGGCCCAACGGUCACAACACGGUCGGAGUAUGACUCAGAUGGGUCCACGCGAUUUCGAGAAAUUUAUGAAUCAAACGAAACCACUUAUUGUGACAACUAAGGUAUGUGGUACUAAAUAGUUUAAUAAAGGAAAAAAGCUAAAUUACGCUUUUGGUCCUCAAACUAUGAGUUACGUGGCACUUUGGUCCUCACAUUUUUGGCUAAAUUAUGUAUAAAAAGUUUCCUUGCACUUUAGCCUCGGUCUCAAUUAUCCACCUGCAUUAAAAAUUCUUCGUUAUCGUCUCGAUUAAAUUCAAAAAAUUUAAAAAAUUGAUAAUUUUUGCUUUAUAUAGUAUAACUUAGUUUUAAAUAGUUUUAAAUGGUACAAUUUAGUCUCAAAACAGUAUAAUUUUGCCUCAACAAUACAACUUUUUCCUUCUUUUUUCUCCUACUUCUUAUCCUUUUUUGUAGCGGCUGCGACACAUGAUUAUCUUCUCGGGAGAAAAGAAAAAAUAUAGUUUAUCUUUUCUUUUCUUUUCUUCUAUUUAUUCUUUUUUUUUUCUUCCAUCUAUGCAUUUUUUAUGUUAUUGCGCAUCCUCCCAUUCCCUCUGCAACAGUCGCCCUCGCCCCUACUCGCUCUCCCUCCUCGUCAUUUUCAUAUUCUAUGGCAUUCUCAUUGCUGUCGCCGUCUACGGUCAAACUCUCUAUCAUAGUAUUAUUUUUGCAAUCUGUGUCAUAUUUAAGCCGGUGUCGACAGAGGUGUGGGCGAUAAAUACGGAGAAAAGCACAUAAUCGACGUGGAGGGUAAAGGAGGAGGAGAAAGAAGAGAAAGCAUGAGAAGAAAAAGAAGAAAAAAGAAAAAAGAAAAAAAAAAAAAACAAAAACGAGGGAGGCAAGUUAGGAGGAAAAAAAAAUUGAAAGAGGGAAAAAAAAUAAUUUAGUGAGAAUAUGUGAAUCUUAAAAGGCCAAUUUGCAUAAAAAAUUCACAAGCUUUGAGCUUUUGCUAAACUGGACCGCCUUUUUCAAUUUUGCACAUUCGGACCGAAUUUUUAAAAAAUUGACCAAAGUACCCUUAUUCCUUUCUCUCUUUUCUUUUCUUUUCUCUCGUUCUUUUAUUUUUUUCCCUCUAUGAAGUGAGAAUUCUUAUUCCUUUCUUUCUUUCCUUUUUUUUUUUUUCUCUCCUUAUUUUUCUUUUUCCAUCUACGAACAGAGAGGCGGAGGCGGCCCGCCACCCGCCCUCCUCACCUCCGACCCCACCAAGGCUGCGCUCGUCACCACCCCUUGGGACGCACUUCCUCGCCUUCCCCCUAUGUGCCCUCGCCCGCGCUCGCUUAUCCCCUACCCUUCUUGCCUCCGACCUCGCCGAGGCUGUGCCGUGAUUCUCUUCUUUUUUUUUUAUUUUCUCUGAACCUCCUCCACUACCUCCGCCACCCUUCGCGACCCACUUCCACCUCCAUCUCCACUGUAGUAGAUUUUUCACCCACUAAACCCACUUCUGGAAACCCACCGUUCUAACCACCGCCAUCGACAACUAAAAGGAAGCGCUUCUCGGCGCCAAGAAGCUCGCUAGCGAGGGAAGAGGCACGCAAUCCACCGCGCCCAGUCGGGGCCGGCGACAAACGAGGUGAAGAUGGAGGAGAGCGUGACGACGCUGGAGAAGAGGGCGGGGCCACGACAAGCGUGGAGUCCCAGAGGGCAGCGACGAGAGUGGCCCUAGCGAGGUUGGAGAAGAGGAGAGUGAGGGGGCGCACGGGAGCAUCUCUGGUCAAACACUUUUGUUUGUUUAAAACAAAAAAAAAUUAACUAAAAAUAAAAAACUAAAGAAUAGAGAAGAAGAACUAGAGAAGAAGGAAGAAGAAUAUAAAAUUAUACUGUUAAGAUAAAAUUAUACUAUUUUAAAAGAACGUUACACUAAUAUAGACGUAAGUUGCACACUUUGAUAUGCAAAUUGCAUUUUUUAAAAUAAAGGUUAGACUCUUUAAACGAAAGUUGCACUCUUUUGGAGGAGAAACAAUAUAACAAUCUCCCAAAGACUGCAACUUUUAUUUGAAAGUAUAACUUUUUAUCUUAUGGGGUUCUCUUUGCGAGUAGAAAGAGUGUAAUUAUCUUCCAAAGUGUACAACUUUCGUUUAAAGAGUAUAAUAUUUAUCUUAAAUGAUGCUCUUUGGGAGGAGAAAUAAUGUAACUAUCUCCCAAAUAUUACAAUUUUCAUUUAAAAAGUGUUACUUCUUUCUUAAAGGAUGCAAUUUAUAUCUUAAGGAAUACAACUUAUGUCUAUAAUAGUGCAGCGUUCUUUUAAAACAGUGUAACUUUAUCUUAAUAGUGCAAUUUCAUCUUCUUCUUCAUUUUUCUCUAGUUCUUCUUUCUUAUUCUCUAAUUUUUGAAUUUUAGUUAAUUCAGAGAUGCUUCCGUGCACCCCCCACCCUCUUCACCACUGACUUCGCCGAGGUCGCGCUUGCCGCUGCCCUCUGGGAUGCCGCCCUCGCUGUCACCCCACCCUCUUCUCUGGUGUUGUCGUGCUCUCCUCCGUCUCCAUCUCGCUUGUUGCCUGCCUUGGGUGGGCACAGUGGGUCGAGUGCCCCCUCCCUCGCAAAUGAGCUUCUUAGCACCGAGAAGCGCUUCUUUUUCGUUAUCGUUGGCGGUGGCGAGAACGGUUGGUUCCCAGAAGUGGAUUUGGUGGGUCAAAAAUCUGCUGCAGUGGAGAUAGAGGUAGAGGUGGGUCGCAAAGGGCCGCAGAGGCGGUGGAGGAGGUUCAGAAAGAAAAAAGUAAAAAGGAUCACGGCACAGCCUCGGCGGGGUCAGAGGCGAGGAGGGCCCGAGGUGAGCGAGCGCAGGCGAGGGCGCAUGGGGCAAAGGCGAGGAAGGGCGUCUGAAGAAGUGGCGGUAAGCGUAGUCUUGGUGGGGUUGGAGGCAAGGAGGGCAUGUGGUGGGCCGCCUCCGCCUCCGCCUCUCUUUUCGUAGAGAGAAAACAAAAGAAUGAGAGAAAAAAAAAAGAAUGAUGAUAUUUUAGUCAGUUUUCUAAAAAUUCAAUCCGAAUCUGUAAAAUUAAAAAAUACAGUCUAAUUUUGCAAAAACUGAAAACUUAUAGAUUUUUUAUGCAAAUUGGCCAUUUUAAAAAGGGUUAAUUUCAUACAAGUCCCUGCAAACAUGGUGAAUAGUAGAUAUAUCCCUGCAAAGUUCAACUUUCAUAAGUCUUCUCUGCAAAAGUCCUAAUGUAUUCAAAUAUAUCCAUGCCGUUAAUAUCCGUUAGAAAAAUCUAGUUAACCACAGUUAAAAUAUUUAACCAUGAUUAAUUAAUAAUGUGAAUUGACAAUUUUGCCCUUCUUCUUCCUCUCCCUCUUCUUCUUCCUCUCCUGCUUUUCUUCUUCCUCUUCUUCUCCGUAUCCUCAUUUUCCUCCUCCUUUUCUCCUCAUUCUUCUUCUUCUUCUUCUUCUUCUUCUUCUUCUUCGUCGUCGUCGUCGUUGAUGAUCCGAUCGUCGUCGCCGUCGUGGUGCCUGCGUGGGCCAUCGUCACGUGCGCCUUCGAUGGUAUUAGCCUCGCCUUUGCCUUCGCCUUCCGCCUCUUCCUUGUCCUCAUUGGCCGGAACCCCGACAAGCUCCGCAAGGUCGCCGUUGCUGUCGUCCGCUCCCGUAGCUUGAAGAGGAAGGGGAAGAGGACAAAGGCAAGGGCAAAAGUGUCAUUUCACAACUCUACUGUUAAAAAAUUAACAGUUCUCUAACAGAUAAUAACCAGAGGGACAUAUCUGAAUACAUUACGAUUUUUGCAGUGAUAACUUAUGAAAGUUGAAUUUUGUAAGAAUAUAUCUGUUAUUCACUAUAUUUGUGGGAACCUGUAUGAAGUUAACCCUUUUAAAAAAUAGUGUUUUAUUUUUUUUUGUGAAAAUGCAUUGCUGUUUAAUUAUAAACUAACGUGACAUAAAUUGGGGCGAGAUUUUAAAACAUUAAUUUUUCUUGUACUUUUUGAAAUCAUUUCAAAUCAUCUCAAACAAGUCAAAUCACAAUUACUAAUAUUUCCAAACAAGAUAUUUUAUAAAUUCAGAUUUUUAUUUUCGUCCCCAAUACAAUGAUUUGGGGAGCUCCAUACAAUGUUUUAAUGUGAUUUGGACCUGAUAUAAAUUGAAGUUGGCUUUUGAUUGAGACAUGACAUUACAUGUAGCCCCUUUGUCAUGUCAAAAGUUGAACAAUUUUAGCAUGAAAAAGCUUAAACAUGAAAACAAAAUUUAUAGACCACCAUAAUUUUUUAAAAAUAUUUAAAAAUUAUUUUUUAAAAAAAUUCUAAGAUUCGAGAAUAUAUAUAUAUAUAUAUAUAUAUAUAUAUAUAUAUAGUCCGGCUACUAUAUUUUUAUGAGUAUUAGCUCCGUUAUACUCAUAAAUUUUUAGCCCUUAGAUUUAUUUCAUGAUCAUUUCCACUCNUAUAUAUAUAUAUAUAUAUAUAUAUAUAAAUAAUAUUUCAUAAAUUUAUAUAGAAAAUUUCUCGAAAAGGAAAUGAAUAAUCAAUUGCUCAUCACAUGUAAUGUGCAAAUUAUAAAGUAGCGUGCGCGGAUUGAUUCGCUCUCUCAAGGAGAAAGCUUAAAAGAUGUUUCAACUUUGGUUGUUAGAAUGAAUCUGCUCGUUACUUUAUCUGUUUCUUCCCUUUUAUGAAUCUUCUUCUUAGAUCUUAAUAGGUUUAUAAUAAAUACAACUUAAUUUUGUAAUGAUUGCCCAGCUCUACUAGUACAAAUAAUUUGUUGGAUUUAAAUCAUCAACAUAAAAUGUUUAAACUCUAUUCAUAUUAUUAGAGUUUUGAGUUGGAAUCAGAUUACGCAUGUGUAAGUUACAUAACAUUUUUUAUACAAGUAUAAAUUCAAAUCUAGAAAACUUAAAAUUGAGAUCUAAAUCAUUAAAUGUGAUCUGGAGUGCUUAAAAUAUACACUUUUAAGGUUUUAUAAAUUUUUGAAAUUGAUUUUUAUGCAUUAAGUGGUAUUAAAAUAAAUGAAUCGAAAUUUUCAAGGAAGGAAAAUGUUGAAAAAACUCAAGAUGUACGUUUUUAAAAUUUAUGAAUAUUUGUAUAUAGGUCUUUUUUUAUGUUGUAAUUCACUUUCAACGGCUUAAAUUUUUAUUUUGAAGCUUUUAUAGUUUGAACCGAUCUCUUAGAGUCUUUGUAUCUUAUAAUUUCAUGCACAAUUUUUUUUUUUUUCAUUCGAUGUAAAGUUAAUUAGAUAAAAUUAGGGGAAGGUGCACGUUAGGUCCUCAAACUUUAAUUUGAUAGUAAUUUUCGGCUCGAACUUUCAGAAUUAUUUCAAUUAAGUCUCAGAAAUUAAUUUAAUUAAAUGACAAAACAUUAACGAAUCGCGAAUGUAAAAAUGACAUGGCGUUUUAAUUAUUGAUAUAUUAUUAUUCACAACGCUACUGCUUUACUUUUAUUUUAGCGAUUUAUCAGUAUUUAGUCAACUAGGUUAGAUUAUGGGAUCUGAUCGUAACAAUUCUAAAAAUUUGAACCAGAUAUUAUAAGAAAAACAUAUAUAUAUAUAUAUAUAAAAACUAAAAUAUCAGUCGCUUCAUAGUUUGCGGACCAAACAUGCAAUUGAGCCAUAAGAUUGAGUAUGCCACCUAGAGGAAUAACACAAAAGAGUACAGCUGUUCAUUGUUGUCCCUAAUUGGUGGUGUAUGGCUAAUGCUAGCCUGGUUUGUUGCUCUCCACACACAAUCUCUCUCUCUCUCUCUCUCUCUCUCUCUCUCUAUCUCUCAUGCAAAAUUGGUCUCUCUCUCUCUCUCUCUCUCUCUCUAUCUCAUGCAAAAUUGGACAAAAAGUAGCAUUAGGCUAUAUCCUAGCAAGCAAAUUGUGGGGCCAACAAUUGAAUCACCAUACAAUUAUGGGUGUGAUUGCACAGUUUAAAAAUAGUGGGACAUGAAUGAAGUUUUAUAUCCAAUUAUUAAGAAGUAUAUCAUGUGCACAAUCUCAAGUUCUCAACCUCAAUGGGUCAGUUGAACCCAAAAAAAAAAAAAAAAAAAAAAAAAAAAAAACUUCAAAUUAAUGAUCACUUCAAGUAACCUUGUUUGGCAAGUAAUGUUCUAAUCUUGCGUGGGAUUUACUUCCUCCAAGCUCCAAAAUUUUUUUAAAAAAUACGGCCUUAAAAAAAAGGUUCGUUAAUUAUUCGGAUACGCGAUUAAUACGAAAGUUAUAUGUUCACUAAUAAAAAUUCAGAAUAAAAAAAUUGGCUAUUAAAAUUAAACCUUUUUUCUCUAAAUUUAUACUAACUAGUAUAAAUAAAUAGUUACAAUUUUAAAAAAAAAUAAAAAUAGAAAGCUACAAAAUAAAAUAAAUUAAGUUAAAAAAAAAUAGCAAAGUUUAUUACUAUCUCCAUCUUCAUCUCUUUUAUGAUUCACAUAUUUCGAAAGUUUAUGAAAUUUUUUUAAUAAUUUAUAAAUAAUUUACGAAUUUUAACUAUGUUGGGAAAAAAAAAAUUAUCUAAAAAUUCUGUCUUUUUUUUGGGCACAAAUAAUUGUGGCAUACGUGAAUUCUUUCAUGAUAUAAAUUUAACCAUAAAUACGCUUUAUUUUUAUUUUUAUUUUUAAAAAAAUUACAUACAGAUUAUUUUAUUCGGAUUUUCAAUAAUUCGCGAAUUAGUUAAUGGGAGUGCCCUCUACCAACACGCUCUUAACCUUCAAUUAAUGAAGGAUUUAAUUGGAGCCUCGACUUUUGUUUAUUACAGUCCAGUCCUAACUUGUAUCGGUUGUUCUUCGGUCGCCAUUAAAUUCGACGAUGUGGAUUGUGGAGCCACUUCUACCUACCUUAAGGUAUCAAAGGAACUGUGUACCUAAUUGUGUAAGGUGGGGUCUAAACUGGGUUUUAAUGUUACUGUCAUUCAUUUACAUUAAGGGUGCGUUUGGUGUCGCAUUAUAAAAAAUUACUAGGAAUAAAAGAUAUCGAGAAUCUUAUUUCUAUUAAUCCUAUUACUAAGAAUGUGGAAUUCCUGUGUUUGGUUCGCCACGGUAAUAUUAAUUAGCCAUGUUAUUUAAUAUACAAAAAUAUACAAUUAAUUAAUUAAUUAAUUUAAUUAAUUUUUAGAUAAUGUUACCAAAGUUUCAACUUUUUUACAAAAAAGCCGAGAGAGGAGUAUAAGUUAGAGAGAGAGAGCAUAAUUAAAAAAAUAGAAAGAAAAAUAUAGUCGAAAUUAGAGAGUAAGAGAGUUGAAAUUUUAGAAAGAGAGAGAGAGAGAAAGCUUAGUUUAGAGAGAGAAAAAAAGUUGAAUUUUAGAGAGAAAAAUAAGUUUAGAGAGAGAUAUAAGGUUAGAGUAUAAAGAAAAAUAAUAUCAAUUAGCCGGCGGGUAGGAAGAAAGAAAGAGAUUAGACAUAUUAUGAUUACCCCAAUCCAUUAAUAUGAGGAUACCCACCCUCCCUCAAGGGAAUGAGAUUAGCACUUUGGGGUGAAUCUUAUUCCCAAGUGAAUCCAAUAUUACCAACUAGAUUACUUAGCGCGUUUAGCCAAACACCGUCAUAUUUUUUUAUUCCCAUUGGAUUACUAGAAAUCUUUAAAAGAUAGCGCGAACCAAACGCACCCUAAGGGCAAUGUUUGGUUCAUGAUUGGAAUAAAAAUAAGAAAUGAAAUUGAAUUGCUUUGGAAUAGAAAAUGAAAUGAUGAAUCAUCCAAAAACGUUUGGUUCAUUAUUGCAAUAAAAAUCGGAAUGAAAAUUUAAAAUUUUUAAUAAAGAGUUUUGAUUCAAAAAGAAAAAAGUGAUGAAGGAAGAGUAGGUAGAUGUUGAUGAAAGAGAAUUUUGAAUAGUUUACUUUGGAAUGAACCAAUCCGGAAUUCAAAGCCGGAUUGGAUCAUAAAUGGAUUUGGCCAUUCCGAUUCCGGAGUGGAAUGAAAAUCGGAAUCCGAUUCCUAUAAAAUAGACAGCAACUAUCGAAAUCAAUGAAUUCCAUUCUGAUUCUAUAGUUUAAAAUAGGUGAACCAAACAUGCCCUAAGAAGAACAUGAAAUGUACUGGGGCUAAAUUGCACUACUGGUCCUCAAACUAUGAGCUGCGUUACAGUUGGUCCCCACAUUUUAAUACCUCACUUCCACAUCGGCGACGUAUCAACAUUUAAUCAACUAGAUUCGAUUGCAGGAUUUAAUUACAAUAAUUUAUAAAAUUCAAGCUAAAAAUGAUAACAAAUUAAAAUUUGAGGACAACGAGACCAAUAUCAGAAAGAAAAACAGGAUUGCAUCAAAUAAUUGAAGGGAUCCAUUACCAAACAAAACUGAAAGGAUGUAAAAUAAACUGAUUUCUUGUGAAAUCGCAGGGACCACCAAUUUACUUUUGACAAAUCGAAAGACAACUAAAUAAUAAUCCAAUACGUUUUCUCUUUUUUUGUUUUUUUUUUCUCUUUU
rnacentral:lncRNA from 1 species